rnacentral:lncRNA from 1 species
UAUUUUUGUGUUGAAUGAAUCUCUUUUCACGAUGCAUGAAUCUUUUUCUGUGAUGCAUGAAUCUCUUUUCGCGAUGUUUGCUCCUUUGAGAACCACAACAAAUGUUGACUUUCUGUGAUGCAUGAAGAUACAGAUGAUGCCUCACCAGUACCGAACGAAGAUAAUGUUUCACCGAGCAAUGUAGGUGAUCUUCUGGGUGGAGGUAUCAUCUCAUUCGACAAUACAAUAUAAAUAACCCUCAGGGUAAGAAUAUUAUCAUAUCUGAUAAUAUGAUGCAGAUAAACGUCUUCUAGAUAUCUUCAGUUGCUAGAAAACAAUAAUAUUGCUUUCUUCUAGGUUUUCAUUUGUUCCAUUUCCGAACAUAGUUGCAUGCUCAUUAUGGAUCUCACCUUGCUGAGAAUUUGAUUGAAAUAAUGCUACUGAUAUUCUCAAUUCUUCGAUAUAAAAAGCAUAAACUUUUUCUGAUCGAUAGAAAAAUUGUUAGUUUAAAGUGAACUGAUCUGUGUCGAUCUCUUCGAUUGCCUGCUCCUUGUCUUGCUAUCUCCGGUUGAUUUCUCCAAUCUCCCACUUCUUUAUAGAUAAGACCAAACGCUUUUACGGAAAAAUAAUUGAAACAUGAAAGAAAAGUUUUGAGGAAAAUAGAUUUUCAAAUGUAAUAUUUGGAAAAAGUCACUGUCAAGUGUCAUGUCACGUCAAGCUUAAUGAACGUCUUUGAAGUUGAUGCUUCGAGGUACAUCUGUUUACUCACUAGAAAGUAUUCAAAGUUCUUAUAAACUUCCGAUGAACCUUAUUGAAAUUUUUGAGGCCAUCCUAAAAAAUUUCUGUCCCAGUUAAUUUCUUCUCGAGAAUUUUUGAGCCCCUCUAAAAAAUUCUAUCCCAGUUUCUAUUGUAAAGAAAAAUAGAAAUCUUACGGGAGAUAUGACUGAGCCGUUGUGGCACCUAUGUAUCCCGUUGAGGCAGGAAUCAGGUCAAACGUAGUUCCCCCUCAAAUAUUAACAGAAAUAGGAAAUUUAAACAAGGAACCGACCGAGGCCGACAUAAGCUGCCUGCGUAUCUCAUUCUUGAGAAUUCAGGUCGAACGUAGUUCAGGUACAAGGAAAAUAUUAAAAGGGGAUAAAGGGGUGACCGAGGCCGACAUAGGCCGCCUACGUAUCUCGUUCUUGAGAAUUUAGGUCAUACAUAGUUCAGUAUAAAGGGAUAGAUUCUAAACUAAGCAAUUACAAGCAAAUAGAACAAUUAGAAGGAAAUAACAGAAAUACAAACUGAAGUUUCAUAUAUAAUAUCUUUUGAUAUCAUCUGAGUUGAUCGGUUUGGGCCACUCGGUGCCAUCCAUCUCCGACAGGAUCACGACACCUCUAGAUAACACUUUGCGAACUAUGUAGGUCCUUGCUAAUUUGAUGCGGAUUUCCCUUUAUACUCAUCCUGAUGAGGGAAAAUGUGUUUGAGAACUAACUAACCAAUUUUGAACAUCCUGGCUCUUACUUUCUUGUGGAAAGCACGAAUCAUUCUCUAUCGAUACAGUUGACCAUAACAAACAAAAACCAUUCUCUUCUCAUCAAUCAAUGUUAACUGAUCAAUCCACUUGCGAACCCAAUCAACAUCACGCAAUUCAUCUUCUUGGAUGAUUCUCAAUGAAGGUAUUUCAACUUCGGCGGGUAUAACUGCUUCUGUUCCAUAUACUAACAAGUAUGGAGUUGCUCCAAUUGAUGUCCUAACAAUCGUUCCGUUUCCCAACAAAGCAUAUGGCAACAUCUCGUGCCAACCUCGGUGAGUGUCAAUCAUUUUCCUCAAAAUCUUCUUGAUGUUCUUGUUGGCAGCUUCUACAGCUCCAUUCAUUUGGGAACGAUUAUCGGUUGAGUUUCGGUGAGUAAUCUUGAAUUGUUCACAUAUCUCUCUCAUCAAAUGAUUAUUGAGAUUUGAUCAAUUAUCAGUAACGAUGGAUUUCGGUACACCAAACCUACAUAUCAAGUUGUUGCGAACAAAAUCAGCUACAACUUUCUUGGUCACCGACUUCUACAAAGCUGCUUCCACCUACUUGGUGAAGUAGUCAAUGGCAACCAAAAUGAAUUUGUGCCCGUUAGCGGCGGCUGGCUCUAUUGGACUAAUGACAUCCAUGCCCCAAGCUACAAACGGCCAAGGUGAACUCAUAGCAUUGAGUUCGUAAGGCGGGACUCGAAUCAAAUCACCAUGCACUUGACAUUUAUGGAAUUUCUGCACAAACUUGCAACAAUCAUGCUCCAUAGUCAUCCAAAAAUAACCGGCUCGGAGAAUCUUCCUAGCCAAAGUGAGUCCAUUCAUAUGAGUACCACAAACUCUUGCGUGUAUCUAUUCAAGAAGCUUUGCAGCUUCACUAGCAUCAACACAUCUCAUAAGACCUAAAUCUGGAGUCCUUCUAUAAAGGAUUUCCCCACUUGGAAAGAAGUUGUUAGCCAUACGGUGUAUUGAUUUCUUCUGGUUGAACGUUGCCUUCUCAAGAUAUGUUCCGGUCUCCAAAUACUUCUUUAUAUCAAAAUACCAAGGCAAACCAUCUGGUUCCGCUUCAAUAUGUGAACAAUGAACAGGCUGCUCUCUUACCUCUAUAUCCACUGGAUCAAUGUAACUUGUAUCUGGAUGUUUAAUCAUUGAUGCGAUGGUGGCAAGAGCAUCGGCUAACUCAUUUUAUGUCUUGGGAGUGUGUCUGAACUCAAUCUUCCGAAAUCUAUUGCACAACUUCUGUAUGUACUGCACAAACAAUGUGAUCUUUAGGUUCUUCACGGCCCAUUCUCCUUGAACUUGAUGAAUCAACAAAUCUGAAUCUCCAAUAACCAGCAACUCGUGGACGUUCAUGUCAAUUGCCAUCUUCAAACCGAGGAUGCAAGCUUCAUAUUCAACCAUAUUGUUUGUGCAAUCGAAUCAGAGUUUAGCUGCCAUAGGAUAGUGCUGACCAGAUUCUGACACUAAGACUUCUCUGAUACCUUUUCCUUGGUGAUUUGCUGCUCCAUCAAAGAAUACUCUCCAGCCAGGGUAUGCUUCAGAAAUAUCUUCUCCCACAAAUGCAACUUCUUCUUCGGGGAAAUAAGUCUUGAGCGGUUCAUAUUCUUCAUCGACGGGAUUCUCCGCAAGAUGAUCAGCCAAGGCUUGUGCUUUCAUUGCUUUCUGAGUCACAUACACAAUAUCAAACCCACUCAAAAGCAUUUGCCAUUUAGCCAACUUUCCUUUCGGCAUCGCUUUCUGGAAAACAUACUUCAACGGGUCCAUUCUAGAGAUAAGGUGUGUGGUAUAAGAAGACAAAUAAUGUCUAAACUUCUGAGCUAUCCAGGUUAGAGCACAACAUGUCCUCUCCAAAAGAGUGUAGCGGGCCUCAUAUGGAGUGAAUUUCUUGCUCAAGUAGUAGAUGGCCCGCUCAUUUUUCCCUGUUUCGUCAUGUUGACCAAGCACGCAUCCAAAUGUGAUAUCCGAGAUAGAUAAAUAUAGCAACAAAAGACUACCUUCUCAUGGAGGAACCAACAUCGGGGGAUUGGACAAAUAAUUCUUGAUAGCGUCAAAAACAGUUUGACAUUCUCCGGUCCACUUGGUCAGGGCAUAUUUUUUCAAUAACUUGAAAAUGGGCUCACACACCACGGUGGAUUGAGCUAUGANNNNNNNNNNNNNNNNNNNNNNNNNNNNNNNNNNNNNNNNNNNNNNNNNNNNNNNNNNNNNNNNNNNNNNNNNNNNNNNNNNNNNNNNNNNNNNNNNNNNCACACACCACGGUGGAUUGAGCUAUGAACCGGAUGAUAUAGUUCAACCUUCCCAAGAAACUCAUCACUUCUUUCUUUGUCUUCGGAGGAGGUAACUCUUGAAUCGCUUUGAUCUUGGAAGGGUCAAGCUCAAUGCCCCUCCAACUGACUAUAAACCCCAACAGCUUGCCAGCUGGCACUCCAAAAGCACAUUUGGCAGGAUUUAGCUUCAAAUUGUAUCGACGUAAGUGAUGAAAGAAUUUCCUUAAGUGAGUCAGGUAAUUCGAACUCUCGCGGUAUUUGAUUAUGACAUCAUCUACGUACACCUCAAUCUCCUUAUGAAUCAUAUCAUGAAAGAUGGUUGUCAUAGCGCUCAUGUAAGUAGCACCCACAUUUUUUAGACCAAAAGGCAUCACCCGAUAAUGAUAUACACCCCAAGGCGUAAUGAAGGUUGUAUUUUCUGCAUAUUUUUCAUUCAUUAUGAUCUGGUGAUAGCCCGCAUAACAAUCCACAAAUGACUGUAUCUCAUUCUUGGCAUGAUUAUCAAUGAGAAUGUGGAUGUUUGGCAAUGGAAAGUUGUCUUUCGGGUUAGCUUUGUUGAAAUCUCUAUAGUCGACACAAAUUCUGAUAUUUCCAUCUUUCUUGGCAACCAGAACAAUGUUGGCCAACUAAGUCAGAUAUUGCGUCACUUCCACCACUUGGGACUCGAUCUGCUUGGUAAUUUCCUCUUUGAUCUUCAAACUCAACUCUGUCUUGAAUUUUUGGGUUUUCUACUUUAUCGGACUGAAAUCUGGAUUAAUCAUUAAUUUAUGAGACACCAUGUGCGUACUUAGCCCGGGCAUAUCUCUGUAAGACUAGGCAAAUACGUCGAUGUAUUCUCUGAGCAAGCGAACUAGGUCCCUUCUUUGAGCUUCAGUCAGAUGGACGCUGAUUCUUACUUCUUUAACAUAAUCCUCAUCCCUUAGAUUCACAGUCUUAGUUUCUUCUAAAUUUGGCUUGUGUUGACUCUCAAAUUGUCGAAACUCUUCAACAACAUGUUCAGGUACCACAUUUUGUUCUUCAUAAUCCUUACAUUCAUCAUCACCUGUCUCAUUUUAUUCGUUCGACUCAUGACAUGACAUGACAUUGGCAGGUUUUAAAUUAUUAUUACUGUAAUCAUAAACAAACAAAGUUAGAAAAGUAAAAUAUAAACAGAUAAGUAAAUAAACAAAUUUUUGAUAAAAGAGGCUUUUCAUUUAAAUUUAAAAUGGGCACAAACUUUGGCCAUGGCCAAAGGCCAUUCUGCCUUCUUAAACAUCACGAGGGAAAUUUAAAAACUCAAACAAGUAAAACCUGCAUAAAGGGUGGGACUCAGGCCUUUUUCGGACUACCACCGAUUUUAAAAACAAACAUAAACACAUGUCCUUUCUACCCAGAUGAGUUGGGAAUCAGGAGUGGCAUAAAGGUCCAAUUUUGCAACUGCUCCUCUUGUUCAACAUCAUGGAUGCCUGAUGUCCCAGCCUCUCCUUCGACGAUUGCAUCGACUUCCUAAAAAAGGCCCUAGAUCCUUUCCCCAAGGCCACCAUCUUUGACAUAUUCUCGCAACAUGAACGAUUGGUACAAAUGAGGCAUUGGCCUAGCUAAUGCUCGAUCAAUACUCUUGUUCAUCACCUCUGCUUCAUCAUCAUCUGUGGGGAUAUACCCCAAACCAAACUUUGCUCCUCCGGUGGGAAUUUGUAUAAAGCUCAACAAUUCCUUGAAAGCGCUUCCCCAAUCCGAAACCUAGUUUGAAACCACUCAGGAGCAUAACAGUAGUUAUCAUCUUAUACACAGAAGCCAUGGGGAGUUGUGGAGCCAAGUCAUCACCAGUGGCAUUUAUCAGCUCCAUCAUGUAGAAAUCACAACCUCCAGAGACAUCAUCAACGAUUGGCGCAUACCCAUUGACAUGGAUCCCUUCACCAUGAAUGGACAAUUGCUGGUCCUUCCAAAUAAAUUUCAUCAGUUGGUGAAGGGUAGAAGGCACAGCCCCGGCCAUGUGGAUCCAAGGUCUUCCCAGAAGCAAAUUGUAACUGUACUGAUAUCCAACACCUGAAACUCCACAUUAAAUUCUACAGGACCCAUCUGAACAUCCAAGUUCACUGCACCCAACAUGUCUCUUUGCUCUCCAUCGAAAGCCCUCACAUUGACUUGGUUCUGGUGAACCUUUCCCAAGUCGAAGUUUAGCUGCUUGAGAGUCGAAAGUGGGCAAAUGUUGAGACCUGAUCCUUCAUCAACCAAGAUGCGAUUUAUAACCUUGUCUCGGCACAUAAUGGUGACGUUCAGAGCUUUGUUGUGCAUUUUGCCUUCGAAGGGUAAUUCUUCGUCACAGAAACUGAUACGGUGUCCUCGAACGACUUGGCUUAUCAUGGCUACCAGAUUAUCACUGUUAGUAUCCACGGGCACAUAAGUGUCAUCCAAAGCCUCAUGAAAUCUUUCCUAUGCAGCUGUGAACUCAUCAGCAGGGCCUACACAGAAAUCUGAGCUGGUGUUUUCUCCGAAUUCUUCACGAUCGAGAAAUCUUUUAGUUGCAUCUUUCUCCAGAACUCUUCUGCUUCAGGUUCACUUAUUGGCGUUUUAGAUUGAUCCUUCUUCUGCCCUCCCUAGGCUAAAUCUUCUGGUGUAUAACAUCUGUCGGAUCUAGUCAUACCCUGGAUAGCAGCCAUUUCAAUCACAAACCUUGGUCGGGCAGGAGUUUCUCUUGGCACCAAGGCAACAACCUUCUCGGAUGUCAUAAUCACAAAUUCUUUCUUCUCUCUAAUGCACAACGAAGCUACAGCCCUUUCCAGUUCAUCAAGAGCGAUAAAAACUACUGCCUUUGUCACGCACCAAUCAUCAUUUGUCUCUAUCAUAUUGAUAUUGACGCCGCCAUGAUUUGGAAAAGGAUUAAUAUUGACAUUGGGUGCGACUGUCUAGAGAGAGUCCACUUUCUGGUCAAUCAGGUCUUGGAUUUUGUGCUUUAGGUUGAUACAGUCGUCGGUAUUAUGUCCAACACCGUUGGAGUGAUAGGCGCACUUCUGAUUAGGUCUGUAAAACCUUGAGCUAGUGUCAACCGGCUUGGGCCCCACUGGAUGAAUAAAUCAUGCAGCAGUUAAUCGCUCGAAUAGCUUUGUUUGGCUUUCAAUGAGCGGAGUGAAAUUUCUAAAGGGCUUCUUCUCAAACAAAGACGGGGAUAUCGUAGUUUCCUUGUUGAUGAGGAGGCAUUUGAUGAUAAUUUGGAGCGUUUGGACAGGGGGCUUGAUAUCUUGGGUAUGAAUUAGUUUGGUAAUUUAGCUGUGGAGUUUGGUAGUUUGGAGGGGUAUUUUGGUAGUAUGGGGGUGGAGUUUAAUAUACUGGGGGAGGAGUUUGGUAGUUUGUCUGAAUGUUCACACAGUUGGGGGUGGCAUUUCGGUAAUGAGAUGAUGGAACUUGGUAAACUGAAGGGGGAGUUUAGUAGACAGAAAGAGGGGUAUUUUGGUAUUUGGGGUGAGUCGUUUGAUAAUUAGAGGGAGGGGUAUUUUGGUAGUUGGGGGGAGGGGGGAGGGGUAUUUUGGUAACCAACCUGUGCAUAACAAGUCGGGUAUGAACUCUGUGAAGGUCGAGAACGACCUUGGUACGAUGAGGAUUUCCUUGGGGUCUUCUUCCCCUCAUAAGAUAUUGAAGACACGUCUUCUCUUUUCUUUUUCAACAAACCCGAGGAUCCGGGCUAGGUGGCAACACGGUCUUCCCGAUUCUUAAUCUGUCUUUGAUAGUCUCACCUACUUUGACUAUCUCGGUAAACUUUUCUAUAACAAGCAACAUGAUUCGAUCAUAAUACUAGGGCUUUUGAACCCGCACAAAUACUUCAAUAAUUUCUUUCUCAAACAUAGAAGGUCGAACUCUAGUUGCCUCCUUUCUCCAUCUGUAUGCAAAUUCUAUGUAACUUUCAUUCGAUUUUUGCUUCAUCUUUUCUAAGGAAUAACGAUCUGGAACGAUCUCCAUAUUGUAGGCAAAUCGUUCGAUAAAGUCCUUAGCCAGAGCAUUCCAGCUAGGCCAUUGUCUCGUUUCAUGAGAUGUAAACCAUUCCAGGGCCUCUCCACUCAGACUUUGGCUAAAAUGCCGCAUUAAUAAAGCUUCAUCUCUUCCAACUCCCACGAGCUGGUAAUAAAUAGUAGGCCCUCAAGUGCGCUAAGGGAUUCCCCGUUCCUCCGAAAAUAUCAAAUUUGGGCACCUUAAACCCUUCCGGAAGGUCCAGAUUCGGAUGGAUGCACAGAUUCUCAUGGAUUUUUGGAUUUCUUCUUUCAUAUCUAGCUUGGCAGCCUCUUCCUUUGAUCUCCACUCUCUCUCUCGCUCUUCAUAAUGGUCGGGCUCAGAACAGUUGGCGUAGGGUUCAUUUGGGACUAGGAUUUUGAAAGUGGUGUUUUGAGGUAGAGGUGGGGCAAUAGAGGGACUCUUGGCAUUUUGAGGGACUUGGUAGUUUUGAGGGAAAGUCUCAGGGCUGAUAGUCUGAUUUUGGUGAUGGAGGGAGGUUUGCAGGUUGUUAAAAUUUUGGUUUUGGGUGGGAGGACAAGUUUGAGAGUUGGCAUUUUGGGGAGGAAGUGGCGGUUGGGGGUUGGUACUUUGAGGAGGAGGUGGUGUCUGGUAGGAGACAAAGGCAUAAUGGGGAUUUUGGGUGGUUAGGUAUAUGAUUGAGGGAUUUUGAGUAGGACUGGAGGGUUGGUUUUGAGCUUGUUCUGCGUUUGAAGGAGGAAAGUAUAGUUGAGGUCUUCUAUCUCUUGGAGCGUUGAAAGCGAAAGUCAGAUUAGGCAAAUCUUGCCUUCUUUGCAUUUGGGCCCUCAUUUCGGUGAUCUGUUGCAUCAACCGCAUAAUUAAAUUCAUUCUGAUCAACGACAACGGCUGAGCCACGACAACCUUAGUUAGGCCGAUCUCUCCAUUAUUAUCACCCAUUACUGCUUUUUCUUUCUGCAAGCUUUGAUCGGGGAAGGAAUCCUUAGGAGCCUUAGAUCUUGUGAAGUAAGGAUGAUCAGCAAGCUUAUCAACAUAAACCAAUUCUAAGUACCUGUAGAGAUAAACAACUCAAAGGAAAAUUUGUUAGUUUUGAAUCGUGACAAUGUGAUGCAAAAUAUCACAUAGAAGGCAUAUAAACACAUAAAAAUUGCUUCAUUUGAAGACAUGUUAACCCACGGAUAACGGGGACUGGUUUUUGAAUAAGCAGGAAUUUGCUCAUUUUAAUUGAGACUCGUGACCUAAGAAGGUUUAACUACAUUGAGCUACGGUCUUCUUGCUGCAUCUCUCAGCAUCUGUUGAUGUGAAUUCAAUGUUUCCUUGUGGAAUGAAUAGGGGAAAAGAAAUUUUUUUAAAAGAUAGGGGUCGGGCCUUGAAAGGCUGCCUACGUAUCUCCAAAGGAGAAUUCAGGCACUACGUAGUCCGAAUACAAAAGGAAUUUGGUUUUCAUUCAUUCAUUUUUUUAUUACAAGGAAAUUGAAAACAUGCGAUAAAACUCCUAAAACAUAGAUUGUUCCUUUAUCAAGGCUUAUUCUUCUGACUAGUCAAAGCAUUCUAGCUCCAUAUCAUAGUGGAACCCAAGGCACAUUCCAAUGCUGUGAUCUAUGACGUCAUGAUAAAGGCAAGGUUUCCAGAUUUCAAUUCCAAAGGGAUCGACUGUUCUAUCAUCCCUUUUAAUAAGGGUCAAGAUCCCCAUUUGAACCAACUGAUAAUAGAUAUCCCACCAUGUUCUCCUAAUGUCCUCCAAGGUCUUGUUCUGGACCAAGUCGAUAUAAUUAUGCAUGAAGUUAUAAGUGUACCCCAAAACAACAUUUAUGUUCUCACUUUUGCACUUCACCUUCUUGCCCCGGACUAUCACAGAGUCAACUGGUUUGAAGGUCUUGGCCUUCUUCUUCCCUUUUGGCACCAGGUCUCCAUAGGCCGAAUAGAACUCCCAGACCCAAUUGGGAAUAUAGGUGCCCUAGGUUAUGGAACUUGAGAGUGUUCCAUAUCUCUGGAUACAUGUCCACUACUCCGUCUGUGGACAAUAUUUUCUCCUCUAGAAUAGCCCUCAAACCUUCGGCAUUUAGUUGAUUGAGUGAUCGGGAAUGAGGACCCUGUACUGGUGGCGCCGGGAUCACCAUUUGUGUUGGAGCUGCAGCUGGAGGAGGAGGAGUCUGAGCUACCGGGAUCCUAGACGGAUCAUGCGUCGCCUUGGAGCGAAGCUCUGCUUUACAAGCUUGCAACAACUGAUCAUCCUCAGGCUCAGAGAUAGAAGCCUGAGAAUCAUGUGACUCCCCCUCGGUGUCAGAUGAGGUGAGGCGAGUCUCGUAGACACCCUCACUGCCGGAGAUGGCCUCCGGUGUCUCGGCCACGGGAGCCUUGACCUUGCCUUUGCCUUUUCCUUCUUUGGUAGGGAGUUUGGCUGCCUUUGCUCUAGAUGCAGUUGCAUCCUUAUCUAUAACCACUCCACAUGGCCGCUUGCGGGGCGGCAUGUCACUUUCGGACACUUUAGGUCUAGCAAUUUCUGCAAAACAUCAUGAAAAACGUUAGAAACAGUUUCAGAAAAGUGUAGAAAAAAAGUUGCAGAAAGACUCACCGAAUCGUUCGGCGAGUCGCCGAAUCACUUUGGCGAGCCAGAUUGGGCUCGCCGAAAGUUACAAAGCAAAAAUAUCAAAAAUUCAAAGCAGGUUGGCGAUGGCCAAGGCCAUUCGGCAGAUCGCUGACACCAAUCAGUGAGCUAGAAGUAGCUCAACGAAAGUUACAGUGUAUUUUAGGGAUUUAGGGGCACAGAAGGGCGAUCAAGAAGGACUUUCAGCGAGUCACCGAGUGAACUCAGUGAGCUCAGGCUUAUCGCUGAAAGUUACAGAAUAAAACUCACUAAUUUAAGGAAAUUUAGGGUGAUCUAGGGGGACUUAGGCGAACCGCCGAACCAUUCGGCGAGCUUGAUUCAGCUCACCAAACGGUCCAACGUGCUAGUUUUGACCCCACUUCUUCAAAAUCAAGCAUGCAGCCCCCAAAAAUAAAAUUAAACACCUACACUAUGAUAUUAAGGUAAGACCCACACUGCCCAUGCCCUCGGGGUACUCAUACUUCCCCGAUUUUGCCAAAAUUGGCCAUUUGACUCUUUUUGCCCUUAAGAAUGACGUCAGUCGUCCAUCAAUGGGUAAAAUCUGACAUUUAGCGCAAUCCGAGGUUACUUAAACUUCACCCCACUAGACCCAACACAUUUUUAACACAACCCACAAAUUAAAAAUGAUUUUAAACAAGCACAACACGGGAUUCACGAUUAAAAUCCGAUUAAAACUUAUUUCAAUUCAAAUUAGGCAAACAAACGAUCACAGAAUGAUUACCAAACACUUUUCAACAACAAAAAUUACUGAUUUGCAUUCAAGUUCAACCACAUAUGGAGUUUGGGGUUCAGAAAACCAACCUUUAUGACGAAAACGAGAUUUGUAAAGCUAGGCGACAAAGUAAAAUUUGAAUUUCGUCCCCAAGAAAAGAUUUCACAAGAUACGAAAGUAAAAACACAAAAAUACGAAAGAUCUAAAAUAGGGUGUGAGGGUACGGGAGUUAAAAUGGGAGAAGAUGAAGGAUUUUGAAAUUUUAAACCGUUUUUCCUUUAAAACCUUUCAGUUUGUACUCCAUUCGGCAAUAUAAGUCGCGCCCACUGAACCCCUCAGCAAUGCGCUGAGUAGUCAUUUAGCUCGCCGAGUUUUACAGAAUUCUCAGCAAUUUGGAGGGUCCAAGCAGCGGACAAAUUCGAGCUCGCCGACCUGUUCGGCGAGUCGCUGAAUGAGCCUUUGGCUCGCCAAGUUUUACAGAGUUCCCCAUCAAGCUGGGUGGUUCCAGCGGCGGUCCAAGUCGGGGCUCGCCGACCUCUUCGGCGAGUCGCCGACUGGACUCUUGGCUCUCCAAAUUACUCAUUUUCUAACACUUUUCACUUUUCAACCUGUAAAACCAAUACCUGUUAUUCAGAAACAAAACUAAAGCAUCAAAAACUUGAGUUAUCCCCCAAGAAACGCCUUAUUUAACGUCGUGGCACGACGUGGAUACACUUUCAAGGAUCAUUAUUUGAGUUUGCCAAGGUAUCACUUGGUAGGCCCCAUUUUGGCCUUGGGUUCAAAUUAGAUGAAAUUUGACCCAUAUACGUUUCCAAUUUCUUUAUGGACACCGAGUGUGAGGUGACCGUCUGAUUGAGAGCUGACAUCUCUAUUCCAACCUAGAUUUCCACCCUGCCUUAGAUAGUUCGGACAAAAUCCUCCUCUUUGAUUAGCUAGGAAGUUCACCUCCUCAUUGUAAAGCGAUUCGAAGUGUGCUUCUUCGAAGUUUGCUCCACCAACUCCCAUAACAUUUACACUCUUCAAACCACUACCUAUCACAUUUUUCGCCAAGAUAUCCAGUUGGGUCAUCAUUUUGGCCAUGUUUUGGUCUCUCUCUUGAUCCUUUUCAAUCUGUUUUUCGUCAUCCUAAAAGUGAGAGGAGACACUUGGUCCUCACGAGUGUACCAUGCUCUAACUACUUCAUAGGGUUGUUGCAUUAUACCUCAGGGAACAAGUUGAUCAGCACCUCAUUUGUUCACUGAAUCAAGACUCCUAUUGAAGUAUUGCAACAAUAUGUGGUUUGGUAGUUUAUAAGUUAGACAUUGAAGUACCAACUUCUUGAAUCUCAGCCACGUCUCGUGUAUAGGUUCACCCUCCAAGUGUUUGAAACCUUGGAUACUAUCCCUGAGCAUCAUCAUUUUCGAUGGGGGGAAAGAAUCUCACAAAGAAUGUUGUGGUAAGUUCAUCCCAAGAGGUGAUGGAGUCCCUCGGUAAUUCAGCCAACCAUUUUGUGGCUUCACCCAUCAAAGAGAAUGGGAACAACCUGAGACAGACUGAUUCUUGUGAUAUGUUCUUGAAUAAGAACAGACCACAAACAUCCACGAAGUUCUGAAUAUGCUCAUGGGGUCUUCAUGGGCCAACACUCCAUAUGACCCUUUCAUUUGGAGGAGUUGUAGCAUUGUGCUCGUAACAUGGAAGACAUUAUUACCCUCAACAAGGGGUAGACGAAUUGCACUAACACCACCCAAUUGAAUUGGGUCAGUCACAUCAUUAAGAUUCCCAAUAUCGUCUUGGUGGCCCACUUGUCUACCAUUACUUCCGGUUACGCUCAUCUCUUCCUCUGUUCAAAACAAGCAACACAAACACAAAUUAAAGUAAGUUGCUUCAACUACAACCAAAAAGAUCACAAUUCAACUUCAAUAAUAGAAUUCUAAACAACACCACUCCCCGGAAGCGGCGCCAUUUUGAUUAACGUCUCAAGUACACCUCAUCCAAUUCUAGGUGUAAACGAUCGUUAACUAGUAUAAAACCCACGAAAGGUUGGGGGUCGAACCCCACAGGGAGCGGUACAUGUUCAAAUUCAAUUAUGAAGUGUAAAUGUGGUCUAAUUUGUUAUAGGAAUAGAAAUUAUCUAAAACAUACAAAUAAAUCUAAAGGGGUGACAACAAAUGUCAGAUGGGGGUUUUGGAUUGUCAAUUAUAUAUCAGCUACAAUACAAUCAAACACUAAGGAAAUAACAAUAUUGAGAGAAAUUCUCGGGAUGUGAUCGAUUAUAGGCAAAUUUCACUGCAUGGGUAAUUGAAACUACUAAUAAAUAGCUAAAUAUCAGUGGGUAGGCUAGACUAUAGAUGCAACAGUUUUCUCUCAAACAACUAUUACGAAUCAGAUGAUUUCUUUCGAACAUCAACAAGCUUAACAGAUAAGAACAACCCACAUCUUAAUUCAUCUACUCUCUCGAGCUAGAUAAGUAGAAUUGAGAUUAGGAUUUACUCUUUCGAGCUAAACCCAUAUCAACCCAAUAACUACAAUCAUCUAUUAAAAACUUUGAUUCUACAACCUUUUUUUCAAGCAAGCUUAGAAUUCUAACUUCGAAUUGCAUUUGCAACUACAAUUCUUAGUUUAAAACAUAACUAUCAAUUAAACUCACUUCAAUUAAGCAUUUAAAUUAGUAAUUAACAAUACCCAUAAGCUAAUUGAACUCAUAAUCACAUGAUCACACCCCAAGAAUUAGGGUUUUAGCUAAACAUCAUAAAAUGUAAAAAUAAUUACCAACUCGAUUAGCCAUUAGUUGGGUAAGAGUUUCCAAGCCUUUACAAGGGUUAAAUUCAAAGACCCACUUGCAAAUCUUCAAGUUUGAGUCUCAAAAACGUCAAAUUCUACAAUGGAACUCCAAAACUAAAAAGAAAAACUCUACUAAAUGAUUCUAUGAUUGCAUGAUAAUAAAUCUUCGGUUCAAAAUUCAAUUUAUAGUUGCCCAAUUUUUGGCCUGGAAAGCCAUUGGGCUAGAUAAGUCAGGCUGCGCUGAAAGGUCGGCGAUCAGCCGUUUGCUCCAAUCCAUCGCCGGUUUGCAUUGGUCAGUUGUCCUCAAGGUUUUGUGACUUUAGGCGAUUAAGGUUGCCAUUGCGGAGUGGAUCGGCGAUUCGCCGAAUGCCCAUAUCUCUCGCCAACUUGGUUUUUCUCCCCAAGGCUGGCACGCUGGAACUUUGGACGAGCUAAAGAGCCAGUCGGUGGUUUGCCGAGUGGUCUUGGCGAUCACCAACAUCACUGUUCUCCACUUCUUUAGCUUGUUUUGCUCCUUUUUAUCUGGUAGUGUCCUUGCCUUGCUCCUGAGCUCACCAAAAUUUAAGGUGGCAAAAUUGACCUGCAAAAUUAAACCAUCUUGAAUAUGCACUCAAUGUGUUUGAUGAUGGGCCCAAGUUAUCUUAUUUGAUGAACAAGAAUUUUGGCACACUCACUUUAUUUUAAGCUCUUAAUUUUGAUCAACUUCUUAAAAGUUUAAAUAAAGCUAAAUGGAACUUAGCCCAUUUAGCUACAAUCAGUCUACUACACUUUUCCUCUUGCCUAAAUAUCUAAGUAGGACCAAGAAUUAUAUGUAAUGCUCCAAAUAUGACCGAGUGUAUUGGUGAGUAUUUGUUUUAAAAUACCUAUUGUUUCUUUCUUUCUGUAAUGACCAAAAAAUGCAAAGAGGAAAAGUGUUCCAAAAGUCUUAAAGAUGCUUCUUAAUUCAUUCUCUGCCUGUUCCAGCUAUAUACAACUUCUUUCAGUAUUUCUGUAUUCCCCCAUUGCAUCAAUAACACAUUAAGGAGCAAGGUCCAUGCCUUCCAUAUGUAUUGACUAUACAAAAAUAAAAAGAUGAGCGGGAGAUUCACUGUUGGCUUCAUGUAGAAAGCACCUACUGCAUAGCUGAAAACCUCUUUUUUUUUUGUAAAUUGUCCUACGUUAGGAGCGUUUCUUGUACGGCCAGACAACCAAAGCAAGGUUGUUUUGGUAAUUCUUUUAUCUUCCUCAUUGCUUUCCAUCUCCAUAUCUCCCACCCACUGGAUAUUUUAGCAAGAUUUUAUGAACUUUCUUAUUCUGUCCACUCUCUAUGCUAGAGAAUCAGGAAAUUGGACGUAUUGAGAGAACUAAUUCUGUGUCAAAAAGAGUUGGUAGCAUUGUAAAGAGGAUACGUUUGGUUGAAUGAAAUCUUAAUUUUAACCAAAAAAAAAGAAACUUAGCUUCUCACUGGUUGUAUCAACAUGAGGUAUAUAUAUCAUGAUGAAUCUUAAAAAAGAAAACUCUUUCACAACGAAAUAUGAUCAGUUGGAUCUUGAAUGAGUGUUUACAUAAUCUUGUUUUGUAUGAAGAAAUAGUGAAAUGAAAUUGUCUUGGCUACGAUAGUGAUGUCCAUAUGUCAGGGGCAAUCACACAUAUAAUAUAUUCAAUCAAUACAUUUUAGAGUGUAAUAUUAAUUUAUGUAGAUUGUUAAAUAUCUUCAAGAUGCAAUGUUAAUAUUUUCAUGUAUUUCAUAGGGUACUACACGAAUUAUUCAAUUCUACAAUAUGGAGUUUUGACUUUAAAUUUUGUAAUCUUUUGUAAAAGCAGCAAGUCCAUUGUGUGAUGUUCUUUUACAUCCUGAUAUGUGAUUCAGUAAGAAUUCUCUUUGUGUAUGUGUGUUGCUCCGUAUAAUGUUCUUUUUGAUCGAUUUUCUUUUUUGAUAUGCAAUUACUUUUUUUAUUGAAAGAAUAUUUGUCUGCCAAAUAUUCGAGAGUUUUACACUUUGCUUAAUUAAGAGUACUGGUUUGUCAACAAUUUAUAUUUCGUGAUGUUAUGUAAGCAUAUCCUUUGAUCGAUUAUUUGUCAUGGUCCAUUUCUCUUUAUAAAAACGAUUUAUUAACAACGGAUAAAGUAAGAGCAUGUUGCCUGGUAAUAGCCUAUUCAAGAAAUAAAACUUAGAUGAGAAACUUUCCUUUUUGGACUUUUAAGUAAGAUAUAUUCUUUCCUCUUUCCUUUCGACAUCAAAAUUGGAAUUCUCCUCCACUUCUCUGGACUUAUUUCAUAGGUUCAACCAUAUCUCAUCGUCACUUGCCUAAAUUUUAUGUUUGAUUGCAACUUUACUGUGGACUCUAAGAAGGUAUAUCUUGAAAAAAAAAUCACAUAAGUAAAGACAUGUCUUGUGAAAAUAAAAUAGUAAUUUCAGCCCUGAAUCUUCUUCUAUUCUACCCGUUGAAUGCACUCCACUUAAUUUAAUAUACUUAUAUGUUCACUCAUUUAUGCCAUUGUCAUAUAAUUUUUAGGUGUGCUCAUUUGUAGUUGAAUAUUUGACUAUUGUGGUUCAUUAUUUUACUCUCAAGGCCUAAACUAUUUGGUGGCUAGAGUGACCACUAUUUCGAUCUGUUGUCUGGACAUUUGGAUUGUAAAUCAAUUCAAGUAGUUAUAUCAUGAACUUCGACUAUGCUAUUGUGGCAGCUGUGGAAAUAGAAGAUGAAGAAAUUUUCAUGUUCUUAUAAAGCUAUUUAUUAGGUCGACAUUCAAAUGAAUCUACUGCUUUCACAACUUUGAACUUAGCCGAAAGACCAAGAAAAAUAUAGUGAUAUGUUUUGAUAGUAUGUUAAAGGAAAUGAAAGCAUUUAAGUUAUUUUCUUUACCGUUGGAAGCAUUUUACUAUAAAGUGAUAAUCGACUAUAAUGAAAUGUUUGUUAUGAAUUUGCUUGGAUAAGUCCAGUGUUACUAGACAUUAUUGGUUUUAUAUCCGUUUUGGUUUUCAUCAGUAAUUGUAAUUUUGUGUACCCUCUAUGCAAUUUUAUCAUUGCUUUGAUUCUUUAUAAAAUGUUGGGCUCGUGUUGAGCACGGGCCAUUUCUUUCUAGUCAUUAUCGAUAAGAAAGUAUUAAGUAACAUACUAAUAUAUCACAUGUUUGGACAUAAUAAUAUAAAAUGUAACUCAUUAUCUUAAUUACCAAACUAAAUUUUGCUAUCCAAUUUUGCAGGUUCAUCGAUUGUCUAACUAUUUGACAUAUAACAAAAUAGUUAUUUGAAUAGGUUGAUUAUUAUACUAAUGUAACACCUCAAAAAUUUCUAAGCUAAGACUUGAAUCAUUCUUCAUUUGCGUAUAAGUUUGUAUCAGGUGAUUUUUAAAUUGUGCUUAGGUGUUAAGGUCAAUUCUUAAGUGUGGGAAUAGAUUUGGACAUGAUUAAGGUCACAAGAGUCCACUAGCACUAAGUUUAGUUGAAAGCUUCCUUACAGAUUAAGCUUUGAUAUAAAAUUCUACUUAGGUCAACUUCAAACGAUCAUAUAUUUCAGGAAAUAAUGAAUUAGGUGCCCAUGACCUAUCAAAUUAAAGGUCUAUGAAUCAUCUUUCCAACGCCACUAAGUUUGCCUCAUUUCGAGUAUGGAGUAAAAGGUUAUGACCAUUUUACCAAAGACUACCAUAGCAAAGUUUUCUGAGUUAGUGACCUAUAAAUCACUUCUACGAGUCGUAGAAAGAGCUACGACCCGUACUGUUGACUAAUAGAAAAAAGUUCUGGAAGUCAAAUUUUUGGGUCCAUUUCUUACGAAGCCAUCUACAGGUCAUAGUUUGGGCCCGUAAAAUGAACAUUUGAGAUUUAAAAUUUCAAUAUGAGUUCCACGGAUGGGGUCCGUAGAUCAAACCACAAACCAUAGAUGGCCUCGUGGAAGCUGAUUUUCGACAACUUUUAAGAACUUAUCUCAAUCUAUAUAGAGUAUUUUUACUUGAGCAUUAAGUUAUAUAUUAUGGGAGUAAUAUUGAGCACCGAUAUGGGGAAGAGUUCAGACAACUCACAUUCCCUAUAAAUCAAGUAGCCAGCGUGGGUUAGGAUCACACCGACUAUUGGUGACUCUUCACUGCCUAUGAGCAGACCUUUCAUAUGGAUUCAUUAUUUGAGUUUAUUCUAUACCCGGGCAAAGGUAUGGAACAAUUCUGACAGCGUGGGCAAAACAUUGUAUCAUCACGAGGCUCAUAUUAAUGGUUGUCGGUUAGAGAAACUCCUAGUAACGUAAAGUAAAGUAAAGUAUAUUUUUAUUUAUAUAUUUCAGUUCAAUAUUUAAUAUUAUUACAUUUUUACGGUAAGAGCUUAAAUAAUUUUCAUCAUGAUUUACACUAUAUUUUAGUUGAGUUACAUUCAGUUCGACUAUUUGAUUUAUUCAGCCCUAUUACAUACUCAUACAUUCAAUGUACUGAUGUCAUUCGACCUGCAUCGUUUCAUGAUGCAGAUUCAGGUACUUAGGAUCAUCAACAAGAGUUCCGUUUAGAUCACAUCAUCCGCUCCUCAACUUUUGGUGAGGCCUCCUUACUUUUGGAGGAUUCUAGUUUUAUGAUUUGUUAGUAGUAGCAUUUUGAGGUGUCGUGGGUCUUGUACCGACACCUAUCUUUAUACAGUAGCGACUUCAUAGAUAUACAAUCUUAGUUAGUUCGAUAGUAUUUAAUUUCAGGUGUAUUAUUUAAAACUUUAUGUUGAAUACUCAAUAUUUUCAUAUAGCUUUGAGAUUUAAUAAACUGUUUUAAAUGAUUUUUCAGUUUUGAUGUUUGUAUAUGCUUGAGUUAGUCUUCCGCUUUGUAGUCAGCCAGGACAAGGGUUCACUCAAGAACCAACAAUGGUUCUCAAGUGUGGGCCACGUCCAGAGUGUAGACUCGGAGUGUGACAACUCAUUAAUUACAAUGUGAUUUUGAUAUAACUCAUAUCACAUAUAAUAUUUUCUUGGGACUCACAUACCAAUAUCAACCAUAUUAACUUGAAAAGCAAUAAAAUAUGCAUAUCAUCAUAUGCAUACAAAAUGAAAUAUAUAUAUAUAUACUAGUUUUGGAAACGUGCCUUGCACGUUUGACCUCUAUUACUGUAUAAAAAUUCUAUGGCCUGACUCAUGUAUAGAAAACAUUUGCAAUAUCAACCAUAUUAACUUGAAAAGCAAUAAAAUAUACAUAUCAUCAUAUGCAUACAAAAUGAAAAAGGUCAAAUAAAGCAAUAUAUUAAUAAGAAAGAAUAAUCAAUAAAUAAAGAAUUAUAUAAAAAUUAUAAGAUGAUGAUAUACAAAAGUCUAGUGGACUAACAUUUUAUGUCCAAUUUAUAAAAGAAGAAAUUGUACACAUCAAAAGUUGUGAGUGAAUAUGAAAGUAAUAGAGGAAAAAAAAAUUACUUGAUUUUGUAGAUGAAUAUGGCUGUGUUUAGGGGUGCGCAUCGGUCGGUUCGGUUCGGUUUUAUGUGUAAUUGGUUCGGUUUAUCGGUUUUUGGUUUGUAAAUACGUCAAACCAAUAACCAAACCAAUAAUAUAUUUCUUAUCGGUUUUUGGUUAAUCGGUUUAUGGUACUUAACGGUUCGGUUUUCGGUUUAGCCAAUAAAAAAAUACUCAUAUAUAUUAUAUACACGAUAAGAAAAUUUUCAAAUAAACCAUAUGAUUUUUCCAGCAUUUGGCAUGAAAGUAAUAAUCAUAAAAGUAACAAUCAUUUUUCUUGCAAGUUUAGACACUAGACACAUUCAAAGGAAAAAGUUUGAAAGUAACAAUCGUUUAACCAUUAACAAUAAGACUAGUAAAUUUAGUAUACUCUUAUUGGGUUAUCGGUUUAACCAUUAACAAAAAUCAUAAAACCGGAAAUCGAACCAAUAACCCAAUAAAAAAUUUUGCAAAACCGUUUAAAAACCGUUAGCCCAAUAACCCAAUAUCAAUAAACCAAUAAUAUUUUUUUCGGUUCGGUUUAUUGGUUAAAUCGGUUUUUGCACACCCCUAGCUGUGUUGGCGAAAUGGAACCAUAAAAUUGAUAAUAAACUUACGUCUUAUUUUUCGCUAACAGAUGAAGAAUGAAGAAUAAAAAAUGAACAUAAGGAGUUAUUAUAAAAAUGUAUUGAAAAACUUAAAAGAAAAGACAUUUAUUUCAUAAGCGAUAAAAGAGGUAAUCAAUUCAAAUGAGAUUUGCCUUUUUAUCUAAUGUGGCUAUAUUUGUGUUUACGUUUUUUUUAUUUAUCAUGUUUAUAAAAUGUAUAUUUAUAUUUUUACACUUAAAUGUUUUGGUAUAAUAUUUGCUUGAAAGAUAAAAAAAAAAAGUAUUUAAUAUUUCAUGGCUUUAAAGCUAAAAAGACUAACAAUCAAACCUCAUUAAAAAGUGAAAAAUGAUAAGUUGUAGCAUCUAAUCAUGUAUUUGGUCUAGUUUAAUUGUCAUUAUUUAUUUGAUUUUAAAAGUUAGUAAGGUAUUUUUUUUAAUUAAAAAAUUAAUGAAGGGUGUUUUCGUAAUCCAACAUUGAACUUAAAACCCUCACACUUUCAUGUUAAUUUGUGUUGAGUCAUUAAAACGAUAUAUAUACAUUUUCCUAAAUAGUCUUUUUAUGAGCAGAUAAAAAUGUUAACUACAAAAUUCUUUAUUUGCAGAAUAGUCGUGAUGUUUCAUGAUUUAUGAGCGGUCAAUUAGAACAAUAAAGAUUAUAUUUAAACAUGUGUGAAAUGAAUAAUAUAAAAUAUAUCUACAAAUCAGAAGCUCAAUCUGAAAAAUAGUCAGGAUGUUUGAUUAGGUGAUUAUUUGAUGAGUCAUGUCGUCUAAAGUUUUGUUUUAAAUUUUCUUGUUAAUCUUAAAAGUUAAUAAGUUUAACGCAAAUUAAUUUAUGCUACUAUUUAGCUUUUUGCUUAAAAAAUAAAAGUUCAACACAUAUCACAUUUGAGUCAAGACAAACGAAAAAUCACCCUAUAUAUCUAUUUAAGGCUUAAUAUUACAGCCUUUAGAUGUACUUUUUUUAUAUUACUACUUAUAACAGUUUAAUUACAAAUAUUAACAGAUUAGUUUUAAUUUAUAAUUUAAUUAAUUAGUUAUUAUUUUUAUAAUUACAUUAUAAUUAAUAAGUAAGAGAAAUAACAUUAAUAUUAGAGAAUCAAUUGUCACUAUCGCUUACACCAUUUUAGGGAUAACAUUAAUAUUAGAGAAUCAAUUGUCAUUAUCUCUUACACCAUUUUAGGAAUUUUUUUCCAGAUUUCACACAGCAACCCCCACCUUCCUCUUUUACCCCCACGCAAACCCCACACCCCCACCCUCACGUUUCUCUUUUACAGAGAACUAAUUUUUUCUCUCUCACCAUCUUCAACGUUCGUCUUCUUCAUUCAAAAAGAAAAUCAGUAGAACUCCCACAUUUAUAUGAUUUAAUGGUGGGAUGAGAUCUACAAUGUUGAAAUUCCUGCAAAGUGUGGUUCCUCUCAGUCGAAGGAUCAAAAGGAGAAAAAAAACGAAGCAAAGAAAANNNNNNNNNNNNNNNNNNNNNNNNNNNNNNNNNNNNNNNNNNNNNNNNNNNNNNNNNNNNNNNNNNNNNNNNNNNNNNNNNNNNNNNNNNNNNNNNNNNNNNNNNNNNNNNNNNNNNNNNNNNNNNNNNNNNNNNNNNNNNNNNNNNNNNNNNNNNNNNNNNNNNNNNNNNNNNNNNNNNNNNNNNNNNNNNNNNNNNNNNNNNNNNNNNNNNNNNNNNNNNNNNNNNNNNNNNNNNNNNNNNNNNNNNNNNNNNNNNNNNNNNNNNNNNNNNNNNNNNNNNNNNNNNNNNNNNNNNNNNNNNNNNNNNNNNNNNNNNNNNNNNNNNNNNNNNNNNNNNNNNNNNNNNNNNNNNNNNNNNNNNNNNNNNNNNNNNNNNNNNNNNNNNNNNNNNNNNNNNNNNNNNNNNNNNNNNNNNNNNNNNNNNNNNNNNNNNNNNNNNNNNNNNNNNNNNNNNNNNNNNNNNNNNNNNNNNNNNNNNNNNNNNNNNNNNNNNNNNNNNNNNNNNNNNNNNNAAAAUGGUAUAAAAUGAUUUUUCUUUCAAAAAAAUUUCAGUGAUUGUGGUUUGUACACGUGUCUAUUUGCUGAAUACAUCAGUAAUGGAGUUUUUGAUAUGCGUUCUGUUGAUAUCGAUGGAAAGUACCAUCGUCAAAGGUAUGCUACAAUCAUAUGGCAUUAUGGAAAAACAAAGAAUGAUGAUGGCGCGACCAGUGAGAGUGAAGUAACUGGCACUGUUGCUAGCAAAUUUGAUGGACCCCGCAUAGCAAAAGAACAUGCUCCAGAUACCAGCAAUUAUCCCACACCAAGAUCACGGAGAUCAAAUUUGAGAUAGUUGAUUGCACCUUAGACUCUUUAGAAUUACAAGUUUUUUUUUUUUGCUUUUGGACGAUAUUUUUGUGUUUGUUACAGCUUUAAGUAGUUGAUGUAUAUAAUAUCCAUUAUUUUAUUCCAAAAAGAUACCAACUACAUAUGAAUUACAGAUUGACUAUUGUAAUCGCAGGAUACUAGUUAUAUACAGACUACAUUCCAAAUGGAUACACCAUUCUAAAGAUAAAUUACACAUUGACUAUAAUAAUUCUCGGGAUAACAGUUAUAUACAAAAUGCAUACAAAUUGGAUUCAACAUUUAGAGUUUAUGACUUUACAAUGUCUUAUUAACUAUAAAGAAAUCAUACUAUUAAUUUAGAGUUCAUGAACUAACUUUGACUUAUAAUUGGGAUCCAAACUAUACAUCUUUGGCAUCCAAAUUCAUAUUCUAAUACAAAAAAAUAAAAAAUGAAUGAAGUUGGUAUCUAACAUGUAUAAAUACCUUGUAUAAACGAUUAUGCCAAUGUAAAAUAGUGACAACAAUUCUGGAAAAAAUAGCAGAGAGAGAAACGUUGAAGAAAAUGGAUAAAAAUAAGACUUUUUAAUUAAUUUAACAGAUUAGAGUGAAUUAAGGAAAUAAAUAAUUCCUAAUUAGUUUGUAAUCUCCUAAAUUUAUGCUAAUUAAUAAUGUCAUCAAUCAAUUCAAAUUUAAUUAAAUACACCUAUUUCCGUUUUUUAUUUUUUCUUCAAAAUCGAUUUAUUUUCCUUUUUUAUCUUUUUUUUUUUCAAAACAGAUUUUUACAAUUAAUUAAAAAAACGUUUUUUUUAAAUAAAAUAUUAUAACCUGAAAUUUUUUAUUGUUUACAACUUGAAAGUUUUAUUCUACUGCUAUAACUUGAAAAUAUUAGUCUAAUAAAUGUCAUAUGAAAUUUUCAAAAUCUCAACACCUUUGAUCUGCAAAAGGUUUACUCCAAUUGAAAAAGUUCAAAAAAUUUGGUCACAUUUAUGUAUAUUAAAAUAUACAUUUGCACAGUUAAUGAAAGAAAGCAUAACUUAUUAGAUUCCAAAAUAAUAAUAUUUGCAUAAUAUAUAAAUUAUUGUAUUUUCUUAAUAUAUUUUUGAAUUUGUCCCUUAUUUAAUCAUGGUUCCACCAACCAAAAUACAUGUUCAGUUCUUUCUUUAGUUUCAUCUUGUAAACUUUUUUUAGUUUUUGUUGAUCAAUUUUAUAUUUAAUUACUUACAAAGACAAAAAAAAUAUAUGUCGUAAAUGAAAAAGAAGAGAAUAACUGUAAUAAAAUCACGACAGUAAGAGACAUGCACAUGAAAACAUCUUUGGACCACACGUGAUAAUUUACAGUAUUAGAACAAUUGAUUAACAAUAAAGUAAAAAUAAAUCAAGUGAAAAGUCUACACAGUAUAUUAGGCAUCAGAAAAGAGCUUCUUUAAAAUGAAAAAAAAGAAAGUAAAUUUACCCGGAUCUUGAAGUUGAAAUUGAACACUGUUCGAAACAAAAUAAGAAUGUUUUGACACUUUGGUAUCUACUUUUAUUUAGUGAAAUAGUAAUAAAUUAUGAAUAAAGACUAUGUCAUAAAUAUUUUUCUUGUAAUGGUAGAAGCUUAUAGGACCAAAUCAAUAAUAGUUGGAUUAGGGACAAGUGAUAUUCCAAAUAAUAGUACUAUUUUAAUUAUGGAAAUCUGAAAAGGUGUAACCUACUAUAAUUAUUGGCAUUUCAAUGAAACUAAUUUUAUAUCUAUUAAUUAUUAAUAUAUGUUAUUUAUUUGGUUAAAAGGUAAAAUUUUCACGUAAUUUUUAUAUUUUUUCAUAAAUAUAUAAUAAUAGUGUUUAAUAAAAUAUGAUAGUAUUUAUUUUAAUUAUCUAUAUUUUUAUCCAUAAAUAUUAUGACUUUAUAAGGACAUUUUAGUAAUUUAACUUUUUUUUUUUUGCUUUCCACUUUUAAUAAUGAUGAUUAUGAUUAUGAUGAUGAUGAUGAUAUAUGAUAUAUAUUUCAUACAGAGUAAAAAAUAAAAUAACUAAACCCUACAUAAUUAAGCCAUAUAUUAUUAAUCACUACGUUACUAAUACCUACGCAACUCUAACCAACAACCAAAAACCAAAGACAUAGAGAUCAACAAAUUAAAGGAAUUCAAAACUUUAAUCCUUUAACAAAGAGAGCACUUGGCAUUGGCUCAUUUCAUGCUAUGAUGUUGUCUCCCUAUCUCUUGGUUGAAGCGGGGAUGGGACUCUAUAGUCUCUAUCUAGUGCUCUUCCAGCUCGAUAUCAGUAUAAGUAUCAAUCUCUUUCCGUUCCUGUGUAUGAGUGGAAUUUUGAGUAAUCGAUGAGACUAGUAAGAAUUCUCCAAUAGGUAUAAUCCUUGUUUUUGUUCCUUCUUUAAAUGCUUGAGGGACUUCUUUCAAUGUCAAUGCUUCAAGUACUACUAGGCACAACAUAGCGAGAAGUCAGUCUACUCUGUUCAUCUACCCCUAACAAUAACAAGCAAGAGGGGGUGCUAAAGUUCAACUUCAACUCUCUCCAUUCACUUUUACUUGUCUAUUAUACUAUAUUAUUAUUUUUUCAUGUUUUACCUAUAGCUAUUAAUGAUUAUUCUCCAAAUCAUUUUAUAAGACUUUAUACUAAACACUAGUUAUUAUAAUAUUGUGGUAAAAUACUCAAAUUAAUUAUUAUUUUUCAAGAGACGACAUGCAUAGUCCAAAGUACUGAAGUAGUGGACAAAUAAAAGUAAAAUGAGGGGUCGGAAUAGUUCUUUACAAAAAUGGUGAUCACUGAAACUGAAAAUAGCCUUCAAUUACCUUUGUUAUUAGCUACAAAAUUUAUUAGUAAUUCCUAAUUAAUCCAUUGCAAAAUAGCUCCUAGCAAAUUGGAUUUUCAUGUAAUUCAUUGUUAAUCUGUAGCUAAAUGAAAGUAGCAUGAAAUUUUGACCGUUUAACUACGAAAUUUUGUUCGGUCACUAAUUCUUUUUUUCUUGUAGUGUUUGGGAUAUAUGGAAGGAUGUAUCAUUUUUAGCUUUUUAGAUUGGCGCAUUUACUCUGCAUUUGUGUUCAUUUCACAUAGAAGCGACAAUUCAGUUUUUGUGGCCUAUAUGUAGAGGAUUUACUGUUAAUUGUCAAUGCAACAUUCCUCCGCCCAUAAGAUUUCCGUUGCCAAUGGAGUCUAUGGACAUGUCAGGCUGGAACAAGAUCAAGGACAAGGUGUCAUGCUGUAGAACAUAACAAAGAAAACCUCAAAAUAUCAUGAGUUAGGAGACACGAGAAAUAUAUCAAAAGAGGACGAAAUAGAACGGGAUAAAUGACCAUACACACAAGUAAGUCAGUAGAAUAGCAAGGGAAGCACACAUGACACAACAAUCACAAAAUCAUGCUAUUUGCAUCAUUUCUUUAAUCUAUAAGUAGGAAUAGCCAGCAAAGGCAUUUCUCUACAUGUUACUAGCCCAAACUUCUCAUCAAUGUCUAAAUCACAAGGCUGCAUACCAUUUGGAAGCUCCCACUCAAAGCAAUGCACCAAUUGUGCCACCAUAAGGCGGACAACAGUAGCUGCCAACUGCAUUCCAGGACAACUUCUUCUCCCAGAGCCAAAUGGUACAAGUUGAAAGUCGCGUCCACGAAAAUCUAUAGUGGCAACCGUACGUCGACUACACAAUCUUCCAUGGACUCAUGAUAAAAUAGUGGCACUACAGGAUGCAGCCUCAGGCCCUCUUUUACAACCAUGUCUAAGUACUUCAAAUUUUCCAGGUUAGAUUCUUCAACCAUUAUUUCAAAGCCUACCACUUCUUGCAACUCCUUUUGGAGUUUCUUCAUCACUUGGGGAUGUCUAAGAAGUUCUGUGAGUAUCCAUUCCGUUGAUGAUGCUGUAGUGUCCAUUGCAGCUACAAGCAUGUCCGGUAUAGUAAAAAGGAAACAGAGGAAUUAAUUAGUAGUACAAACCAUUUCAUUCUCAAGGCUUGUGGUAUAUUAAGCUUAUACUAGUAAACAUACAAAGAGGGUAGCUUUUACGUGACUACGGUCAAACUGAAAUUCUGCUUCUCCAGAUUGAACUUCUUGCUUUCUCAUGGAUUGAAAUGAAUUGAUCUUGCGAUUGCUCAAAAGGUGCAGAGUGCACAACUUGCGCAUGUUGCGCCAAUACACACCAUACUUUGCAAAUGCCAUAUUCUUCUGUCCAUAAGACAAAUAUUGAGAUGCCUCAUGAUGAGGCCUACUAGCAAAGAUGUGAUCAUACGUCUUGAGGACCUUCUCCGCUGCAUCAGCAGACGAGGCAAUGAUUGUAGGUACUAGCCCUAGUCUCACAUACAUAAUAGGACCAUGUUUCUUAACUAGUUUUUGUAAAUCUUCGUGUGGAUUUUUACCAGCUAACAAAUGAAGAUGUCCUAAAAUGGGAAAGCCUGUUGAACUUGGAGGAAACUUUUUCCUCUUGGGAAUGUUUAGCAGCUGAUACAAGGCAUAUACAAAUAGAGAAACCAUUAGAGUUGCCCAUAACAAAGUCAUUGAGUUAGAAGAGAAAAAUUCAGUCUUAAUUAUUCAGAUUUGUAGAUAGUUUAUAAAGGAAAUGCAGGACAAGAGCAAAGUAGCAAUAGUAAUUACUGAUAUGCCCUAUAACUUUGAGUGUGCAUAAACAGACACUUAAACUUGUAUAAAACUGAAUAAGUAGGCACAUGUAUCCUACAUGACAUAUUACAAGUAGAACACCAAAUAGGAUGUGAACUGUCACAUAAGAAGUCAUGUAGGACACAUGUGUCUAUUUGUUCCAUUUUAUACAAAUUUAAAUGUCUACUUAUGCACGUCCAAAAUAAGAGGGCACAAAAGCCGUUAAAGUAUACAUGUUCAAAAUAUUCACUUUCAAUACCACGGUAGGGUUUUGCUCUUAGCAGCCGGGCAUAAUUUUAAUUAAUUUGAAGAUAAGUACUGAUUAACUGUCACUUUUAUUACUUAUACUUCAUAAGUACUCUGAAUCCUAUUAUAAAAAAGAUUCAUUUGUAAUUUACUAUUCCCUCAAUUCCUUUUUAUAUGUCAUCCUUUCUAUAAAUAGCUGGAUCAUAAUACUUGUCAUUUCAUAAAAUCAAUACAUGAUAAGUAAUAAGUAACUUAUUACUUAGUCUUGAAAAUAUAUACUUUGACCAACCUAGAAAAACUAAUAUGUAACUAAUAUUCAUUGGAGUACUUUAUACAUUGAUUAAUUACUCUUUCCAUUCAAUAUUCUUUAAAAUCUGAUUUUAAAAAUAAACUCAAAAAGUUAAAUAGUCAUCCAAAUGCAUUUUAAUUUUUGAAAUCUAGUAUAUUCAUCAUAUUUUGAAAAGUUGAUUUAAGAAAAUAUUAAAUAAGGGUAGAAGGGUAAAGUUACUUAAUUUCUUAAUGCAAGUGUACUCUAAAAAUGUGACAUAUAAAAAGGAACGGAGGGAGUACUAAUUGAGGUAUAUGAAAAGAAUUUGAAUUAUGAGUUCCAAAAUAUUUUAUUGCUCAUUUUAAUGUAUGUGAUAUAGUUUGACUUAGCAUAAAAAAAAAUUAAAAAAUACUUUUGAAAUUUGUAAUUUAAAAUAAAUUAUAGAUAUUUGUGAGUAUAAAUAAUUUCAUUAAAUAUAAAAUGAAAAUUCUAAAGUUUUUGAAUUGUUACUAAAUAUAAAAAUAUGUCAUUAUUCUCGGUACAAAAGUGAGUCAAAUAAAUUGAGACUAAUAAAAUAUAAUUUUGACUAGGGGUUUCUCACUUUCUAGUCAAAGAUAUGGUAAUUUUUUUUAUAUGAUAAUAGAUAUUAGAAAAAUGAAUAAUUAACAUACCCUAACAGAUCUAUUCCCAAAGUCUCCUAUUUUUUAUUAUUAUUUUUUAAAUUAAAGCAGCCGUCAGGCCAUUAGUAUUACAUUUGGACGGUUAUUGUUUUAUAAUGUAUUAUAUUGUAUUAUGUUGUGUUAUAUUACAUUGUACGGUAUUGUUUUAAUGAAUACAACGUUUUGAUUGAUUGUAUCGUUUUUCUUCAUUACAUAAUGUCACACAUCUAUAAUCUGAAUGAUAAACCUAUAAGAAAACUAGAAUACUAGGUAGAGCUAUUAUGAAAAGAUAGGGUAAAAUAAAUAUAAAUGUUAUUAUUAAAUACUAAGGUAACGGCAUCACACCAAACAUGUCGUUACACAAAAUGAGUCUUUUCAUUAUUAUCUAACGAUGAAUUUAAACAUUACGAUACAAUAAAAUUUAAUUAACAAUCAAAACAAACAUUGUACUUAAACUAACAGGUAACAACUAACGGAUAACAACCGUCCAAACAAGGUGUUACUAUUCUUCCUAUUUAUAAUAAUGCGACCAAUUUUCACCAAUGCAUGAGGUAAAUAUUAUAAAUAUUUCAAUUUUUGUAUGAAGAAUUUAUGUUUUUUGCCUUGUUUAUAUGACAAUAUCAUUUAUUGAAGAGUGAAAAUAGAUCUCUCUUUAAUUGUCAUUUUUCCAAACAUAUGCAAAUUUAAUAAUUAAAGAAUUAAUAUCAAUUUUACAUCAAACGUUAAGUAUUUUGACUCUUAUGUACCUCUUAGUCAAAGAAAUGAUUAUCUUUAAAUACCUUUAAUGAUCAUGAAAACUAAUGUUAAGCAUAUUUGAUAUAGCAUUUUAGUUGUUGUUAAGCAUAUUUGAUAUAGCAUUUUAGUUUACAUUUUUGCCUAAUUAAAAAAAUAUACUAGAUACGAGACCCCGUGCCAGCACGGGCCCAAUAUAUACUCCCUAUCUCAAUUUAUAUGAUAUAUUUCAGAUUUUGAAAUUUAAACAAGUCUAAUCUUUGAUCGUAAAUUUUUCAUAAAUCUUUUAAAUAAUUUAAAUUGUCAAUUAUUGUGACUUAUAGCACUUUUUACGUAAUUUAAAAAUAUAUAAAUUUAUUUUUAAAAAAUUAAAGAUUCCAUAAGCAAAUUCUCAGGCAAACUUAAACUCUAGAAAAUGAAAUGUGUCACAUAAAUUGAAACAGAGGGAGUAUUAUUUUUUUAUUUUAAUUUAUGUGAUACAAAUAGAACUUGAGAAAUUAUUCAAAUUUUAAGUAAUUAAUUACUGUAAUUUAUAAUAUUUUUUACGUAAUUUUGUUGAAACAAUAUAUAUUAUUUCAUUUCUCAAUUUACGCGGCACAUAUUUAAAUAUUUUAAGUUACUAAUUAUUGUAAUUUGUAGUACCUCUUACGUAAUUUCUAAAUAAUAUGUAUUACUUCUCAUGUCUCAAUUUAUAGGACAUUGAUAUUGCCAAAUUUUUAUGUCUUUUGAAUAUUGUAAGUUAUUAAUUAAUGUAAUUUAUAAUACUUUUUACGUUAUUUUAAUCAAGAAAAAAUCUUUUUGGCCAGAAAAUUUGGCCAGAAUGAUAUUUUAUCUAUGUUAUUUUACCUUUAAAAAUAUUUAUACCUUUUUAACUUUAAUACAUUUUAACUAAAAAAAGGAAAAAACAUCAGUUUAUUAAAAAAAAAAAACAUCAUAGUUUUUUUAAUUUUCUGGUCAAAUUUUCUGUCUAUUUUAGCACUUCUCUUUAAUCAAAUACGAAAUAUCUUAAAUUUUAUUAGUUAAUUUUCUUUUAUGUGAAAUAAUAAUUUUCUUCAAAGAUAACAAAAAUUACAUUCUGAUGGGAUGAGUGGGGUCCGGGUAAGUCAUAAUAACUAGGGGUGUGCAAAAAUCGAUUUAACCAAUAAAUCGAACCGAAAAAAACACUAUUGGUUUAUUGAUAUUGGGUUAUUGGGCUAACAGUUUUUAAACGGUUUUGCAAAUUGUUUUAUUGGAUUAUUGGUUCGGUUUCCGGUUUUAUGAUUUUGUUAAUGGUUAAACCGAUAACCCAAUAAGACUAUACUAAAUUUACUAGUCUUAUUGUUAAUGGUUAAACGAUUGUUACUUUCACACUUUUUCUUUUGAAUGUGUCUAGUGUCUAAACUGACAAGAAAAAUGAUUGUUACUUUUAUGAUUAUUACUUUCAUGCCAAAUGUUAGAAAAAUCAUAUGGUUUAUAUGAAAAUUUUCUUAUCGUGUAUAUAAUAUAUAUGAGUAUUUUCUUAUUGGUUAAAUCGAAAACCGAACCGUUAAGUAUCAUAAACCGAUUAACCAAAAACCGAUAAGAAAUAUGUUAUUGAUUUGGUUAUCGGUUUGAUGUAUUUACAAACCGAAAACUGAUAAACCGAACCAAUAACACAUAAAACCGAACCGAACCGACCGAUGCGCACCCCUAAUAAUAACAACAUGCCUCUUUAGACAUUUAAAAAAGGCUCAAACUUUAGUUUAUUUACUAAUGUAUACCAAUGGAUUUAAUGUAAAAUGAUGCAAAAACAAGGGGCAAAUGCAACUUUGAAAAAGUAGUGUAUUACCAACAAAAAGACACUGUGGGAAUCAAAGGAAAAAUCAUGAAGCAGACAACUCUCAAAGCAAAUUGUACUACCAUCCAAAGUAACGUAAAAGCAGAAUUAUCCAGUAAAUUAUCAACUUGCCCUUGUCUAGGAAGCAAGCAUGUUGAUGAACAGCUGCAUCCUAGACUCUUCUAUAGUAAUAAGGUAUGAAUCAAUUUAUGUAUUAUUUUAUGUAAUACGUAAUUAACUAAUGUAUAAAUAACAUGCGCGUGUAGUUCACGUGAUUCAUGGGAGCGUGAAAAGGAUCGUCAAUAGUUGGGCAUUUUGAAAUGGUUGUUGUGAGUUGUGACGGAAGCAAAAUGUGUUUAGUCCUCUCAAGAGCAUGAAAAGACAUGGUAUUAAAAAGUUGAUAAGUAAUUAAUUAGCACAUUCUAUCCACUGGUGUUAUCUUAUUUUAGAUUACCCUUUUUUGGGUAAUAACUACUACUCCCUCUGUUUCAUAAAGAAUGACCUGGUUUGAUUUGGCACAAAGCUUUAGAAAAUAAAGAAGACUUUUGAAUCUUAUGGUCCUUAAUUAAAGUUAUGCCAAAUGUACUAAAUUGCCCUUCAAUCUUGUGGCUUUAAACAUGUCACGUGAAAAGCUGAAAUUAAAAUGUUACCAAAAAAGAAAAGAGGUCAUUCUUUUUGAAGCAGACUAAAAGGAAAGGAGGUCUUUUUUUUUAAACGAAGGGAAUAUAUAUUAAAGCAGUUUUUUUUUUUCCAGAACUUGGCAAUUUUAAUACUAGCACAUUUGACCUUUUGUGUACUUUGGGUACCCUUUUGUCCACCCUAAUGUCAUUACCCGCCACUUUGCCUUACAAAUUUGGCAGAAAAUAAGGAGGAAGAAUUUAGAGUUAUGAAGAAGUUAGUGAAAGACUCUAGAAUCUCCUAUAUCUUUCCUUAGAAGACUCUAGAUUGCCUGAGAAAAUAUCUUAGAAAGGCUUAGAAUUCUCUAGACUAGUAGAAAAUUCUAGAUGAGGGACUAGAUAUUUUCAAGGAAGGCUUUGAAAUUCUCUAGAACUUGUAGAGAAUUCUAGAUUAGGACUAAAUUGUAAAUAUUGUAGAAACUUGUAAAAUAAUUAUUAUUUACACUUAGGUCCCUAGAAAAGUAGUGUAAAUAGAGGGCCUCUCAUUUGUAAAUCACCCAACAGGUUGUAAAACAUUCUCCAAGCAACACAAAGCCUUCUUCAAAAACUUUCCAAGUCUUUCUAAGUCUUAAUUGCAUUCUCUUAGCGAUCUUAGUUCAAAGGGAUUACUUGAGCUUACAAAAUCUUGAAAGAUUAGUGAGUAAUUUGUCAAGUGCCGCACGGAGCUUUAGUGAGACUCUAAGUCCGUGAAACUAAUCUCAACUUUCCUACCUACCUAAUGCCCCUUCAAAUUCUAUAAAGACAUGGGGGACAACUUAAUUAAGCUUUAAUUAUUUGUAUAAUUUUGUCUCUUAUUCUUGUUUGGGACAACUAGAUCUUUUAAUUAGAUUGACAAAUAUAUAUUUCUUAAUUAAUUUGAAGGGGUUCACAUUUGUAGUUGAACUAUUUCAUACAUUUCUAAACUUGAAGGGCAAGGUUUGUCCACUGUUCUCCAAAGCCUAGUUUCCGGAGGAUCCUCUUCAAGUAUUCCCAAGACACUCUAUCGUAAGUUCUUGUCAUGUCGAGUUUCAUCACCACAUUGCCACCCCUUGUUAGGUUUGUUGAUAUCACUAAUGAUUUCUUAAGCCAACAAAAAUGUUUUCCUAGAUAGAUCUUCCUUUUAUGAAACCACUUUGGUUCUUGCAGAUGAUCCUAGGAAAGAUACUAGAAAGUUUGUUGCUAAGGAUUUUGGAAAUAAUUUUAGAAAACACGUUACAAAGGCUAAUGGGUCUAAGAUCUGAAAAUCUUUAGGGAUGAUCAAUCUUGGGAAUCAUAACAAUGCAGGUGUGGGUAUAAAACUUGGUGAGGGUGACUCCUUUAAAAAAAGAAUUUACAGCAUUAUGAACAUCGAAUGAAAUAAUACUCCAACACUUAUGGUAGAACAUUCCACUUAAUCCAUCAGGCCCAGGCGAGCUGUUGGGAUCAAUAGAGAAAACAGUAUCUGUCACUUCCUUGAGCUCUGGGAUGGCAUUAAUCAUAAGGUUAUCUUCCUCUGUGAUGCAACUAUCAACACAAUCUAGGGCACUGUAAUCAGUAUUGGUAGAAUCUUGAGCAAACAGGUUCCGAUAGAAAUUCACCGCUCCAUUCGCUAUAGCAUCAGUGUCUUCCAGCCAGUUAUCAUUAUCAUCUUGGAUUCUUCUGAUAUUCAACUUCCUUCUUUUAUCUUUAAUGGUAGCAUGCAAAUAGGUUGUGCUAGCAUCUCCUUCAUUGAACCAUUUAACUCUAGCUUUUAGGCAUGGAAUGGAAUCUUGAAUUUUAAAAUAUCUGGUAAAAAUAGCUUUAUGCUUGGAGAGUUUGUUGACACCCAAUUUUGGACCUCCACAAUAUAAAUUAAUCACCGAGCUUCUUCAAUUUCGAACGAUUUGAAAUAAUUACUUUUAUAAAAUUCACAAAGUUUUCAAGUUAUUUUAAGUAGUUUUAUCAUGUCUUAUAAAUUUUGAAUAAUAUAUAUGUUUUAUAUAAUUAGUAUAUUUCUUAAAUAUUCGAAAAUCGUCUCAAAAAGAUUUUAUUUUGAUUAAAUCUUCAAUUGAAUCAACUGGGUUUAAAGUGUAUUCUUAAUUUGGAGUUAUUUAGUUUGUUAGCUUAAUUAUUUUGGAAGCUUGUUUUAUUAAUUUACUAUAACUUACGUUGUGGUUAUAAUUUUAAAUUACUUAGUCUAUAAUUAAGUUAGCUAUUUUAUUUCGUUAAGAUUAAAAAGCUCAUAAAUUAAUUUUAUUAAUUCGUCAUAUUUGAAGUUUAGCCGAAUCUCCUAAAAAUAAUUCUUUGGGUUACCUCUUUAAUUUGUUGGCUAAAUUGUCAAUUAAUUUUAUUACAAUUUUGGCCAAAAUCUAACAUCUUAUUGACAACCCAAAAGACCCAGCCCACUUCCCACAAAAAUCAGCCCAAUACAAAAAAAAAAUUUAAGCAAUGCAAUUCCAAAAAGAAACCCAUCAAUACCUACAUACAACGAUUACAACAGCACCAACCGACCCACCUCUACGCGCCUCACAUUUUUUUUCCCUUCUUCUCGCGUGAAUGCACAGAAGAAACCCAACCAGAAUCGCAUGCCCAGCAAGAUGAUUGUCGUCUUGUUCCUUUGUCUCGACAAAUAGUACGCUCAUUCAAAUUUUGAGCAGAGCAGGCAGCCACAGAUUUUGUCCUGGCAUUGAGAGAUCGCUCCACGUCGCACCUCAAGGACGGGAGAUCGAUCCGAGGCGUCCGUCUACCUUUCCUCUUUCGGAAUAGGACGAAUUUUCAGAGAAAAAGAUGUAUCUCCUUAAUGGUGAAAGCUUUUUUUUAGUUUGAAUUCGAAUUGGAAAUUAAAAAAUUUAAUCCGGUUUCCCCCCUUUUCAAUUCCUAUUUGACCCUCUAUAUAAACCCAUCUCUUUUACUGUUUGGGGGGAUUUUUUUUCUGAUAUAUUUUCCAUAACCUGAGACAAAUGAUUUUAACCACAAAAAUACAUUAAACAAUACUUAAAAGGGUGAAAAAUAAAUAAAUAAAUUGGUAGUCUUGUUCUCUUUUAAGUUUCAUUGCCGAACCUCUGUUUAUGGAGUCAAAAUCAGACAAGUGGUGGAGUUUGCUUCAUCGUUAAGCUUGUUGUCCCGGAAGCUGCUCCGAAAAAGGUAAAUCUCCUCUUGAUUUUAAUUUCUUGUUAGUUAAUGUUGUGUUUAUGCUUGUCAGUUAAUGUUGUGUCUAUGAAUAGAAUGAAAUUUUUCAAUCUUCUCUUAUGAAUUUUCUAUCGAUUUUAUCCCUUCCAAAUGCCUCUGUUUGUCUCACCUGUUAUUCUUCUUGUUGACGUUGGAUAAUAGGCGUUCUUGGUCCAAGUUUGCGUGUUUAUUUUAUUCGCGUAUGAAAUGUGUUUCCUAAAGGUUUACUAUUUGGACUUUAUUGUUGGAGUCGUAGCCUCAAGAUUCAUGUUCAAGCAGCCUAUUGUUGCUAAUGUAGCUCUAGUAUGCUCAAUAUCUUGUCAUUUUGGUUCUCGAAUGUGGGAUAUGGCUCCUGUAAUCAAUUUAUCUGUAGUGUUUACUUCAUAAUUUUGUUAGCCUCUUACAUAAUUUAGGCGAUUCGAUACGAUACACCGUACUACUUUUCUGUUGUAUUUGAUAGGAUUCGAGCAAUUAUUUUAGAAAGUUGAGUUUUCAUACUGUUAGUUGUAUGAAAGUUUGCCAGGAAGAAUUUGAAAGUUAUUAUGUCAUUGUUUAAACCUUGAAAUUAUUUAUCUUGGUCUCUCUUGAUUAUGUAAUAUCUCUUAGAGAACCUUGUAAACUCAAAUAUCCAUACAAAUUGGUUGAAUUCACUAGAGCAAAUUAAAUGAUUUAACACUAAGCAAUUUGUACUAUUUUUCACGCAAGUGAUUGUAUGAUACCAUGUAGUAACUCGUGAGAUUUUAUAAUAUGCUUACUAUGAUCAUUCUCUAGGCACAUUAGUAGAGCAUCUUCUUCUUCGUCUUUUUUUUAAUUUUAUUGUUAUUAUUAUUUUUUCUUUUUUUUCUUUUUUUUGCAAGUUUCAAGUUGACUACUUGGGUUGAUAUCAUGUGUACUAUAAUAUUUGCGCCAAUCUUGUUCAAACUCCUAAUUAGCAUGUGUUGAUAUGAGUAUUAAAAGCAUGUGUCAGUAAAUUGUUUGCCUGGAAUUUGGAAGUUUUUGAGCAUACCAUUGGUUAAAGUGAGUAGAUAUAGGUGUUAUUUAUCUAUUGUUCACUCUAUGUUUGUUUAUUUUUUUUUAUUUUUUUGAUUGAUCUUCCUCACCCAUGUGUUUGCGAUUCAUGCACUGUUCUCUACCGUUCGAAUACUUUAUUAUGCAAUUUUGAGUUAAUAUUAAUUCGUUACUCCUUUCUUUGUAUGUAUUGGAUUCAUUCGUGGACUCCUUUUCCUUGCAUUUCGAAAUGGGCCACGGAGGCCCAAGUUCAUUCUCCUUCUCGAGUCAACCCUCAAUCACCAACAUUGGAGCAAACAAACAGCUCCAAUUGGAAGCGAAAGGGGGUGUAUACGCGUUGCAUACAGUAUGAUACAACGGAAAGAGGGUCCAAAAAAAAAAUGCCCUAAAUUUUCAGCUUUGUAUUUUGUUACUUUGGGCCUAAGUCCUUGUCACUUUCAUUAUUAUUUUGUUAGAGUUUAGGACAGGUGGAAGAAUAUUGGGCCUAAGGCCCAAAAGAAAUAUCUUAUAUAUAUUAGACUAGGAUAGGUGCAGCUGAUUUAAAUGGGCCAAAAGCUCAAAACGAGAUUAGAUCCAAGUACUGGCCCAGGCGGACAGAAACCAGACUUGGGCCCAAAUCUCCCUCUCUCCUUAUUAUAUAUCUCGUGUUAAUUUUAUUGUUAGUACAUGCUUAUUUGCUAAUUAAUUUUAAGGUUCUUAACUCAUAAUUCCCCAAAGGACACCCAUUUUGAGUUAGCUAACUUAUAAUACUUUGUCUUAAAAUAACUAAGUAUACUUAUCCUUUUUCCAAAUUAAUUUCUAAAAAAUUUAGAAGCUUUUUCUCUACUUGGACAUUUUAGAUAAUAUAUUCCCUUUUCCUCUUUAAAUGAUUUUAGGUUAUAAAAUUUGUUCAUUCGGUAACUAGUCAAGCAUGCCUAUUGUUAGCCAAAUAAAUUAAUUGUCGGAUAACCGCAUUAGCGGAUAUUCUAGGUGCUUUAAAAACCUUCCUAGAAUAUUAAUAAGAACCCUGAACCCUUCUUUUUAAGUUUUCAUUAGAUUCUUGUUUUAGUCUUUUGAAAACAAUAGUUUUCUUGAUUUUUCUCAAAAAUUAAGUGGCGACUCUAAACCAGUCUAAGUUCUAUUUUUAAAUAAAACAGAGUUCACAUCUGUUCUUAAGAGAAUUUUAAAAUAUCUGGUAAAAAUAGCUUUAUGAGGUUCUUAAACAAUUCAAUCUCAACUUUUUGUGUCAUUUGGAAAUUGGGAUAAGACUCCUGACAGAGAAUUCAUGAACCAACUAUGUACAGUACUCUGUACCAAAGGCGACUAGUUUGAAUUUGAGACCUCUUAUUAAGGAUGAAAUAGUACUUAUCUUUUCACCACAAUCUUUGUUGGUGUGUGCUUGUUAUUAAUCGUUAUCUUGGUAGUAUAAAGAUAUUCAGCGGCGGCGAAGUCAACAUUUGAAGUUUAUGAAUUUAGAAUUUUAAUAUAUUUUCAUUAUUAGAUUCUUAGUUAAUAAUUUUGUAUAUUCAAUAAAUUUCUUAAACAAAUAUAAAAUUUUAACUAAAGUUCGAUCAAACACUUAAUUCAUAAACGCAAAGGGUUAGGUUCACCAAUAUUUUUUAAAAGCAGUACAGUUUGGCUAAAAAAUGAUAUGCAACUAAUAUAUGAAUUUAACAUGUCAUCAAGGGACCAAGUGUUUUUGCUUAAUUAAGACUAAACUAGAAAGAUAAACUCUAGAAUUACGUCAUUGUAAACAAAAAAUAUAAGCAAUUACUUAUCAUUUUUCUACCAAUUAUACCAUUGCAAAUGUUAUGACCUAAUAACACAUGUUACUUCUUUGUCAUUUAUAUUUUUUAUUUAUAAAAACACAAUAAUGCAAGUUCUUAAUUACCUAGUAUUCUUGAUCCGUUUUAAUUUAUUUAUCUUAUUUUUAUUUUUAAUUCAUUUCAUAGAAGAAUCGUUCCUUUUCUGACAACUUAUUCUUAUUUCUAACUUCCUACAUGAAAAUUUUAAAAUCACAAGAUCAAAUUGCAUUGUAUAUUCUACAUAUAUAUCUUUAGUUUUUUUUUAUUUUUUAAAUUUUAUGUUAAUAAAAACAGAUAAAUAAAUUAAAAUGAAUGUAAUGAAGUGUUUGAUUUGUUGUGCUGCAAAAUGGAGUCAAUUUAUAACUUUCAUGUAUCAGAUGCAAAGUCAAAAUUUAAAGUUUAUAGAUUUAGAAUUUUAAUUUUUUAAAGUUAGUGAUAUCUAAAUAGUUCUCAUCUGUUCCACUUGAAUUCAUUUAUUUGAUUUUUAAAAUGUGUUUGUGAUGCAAAUAAUUCCAAUUAACUAAGUCAUUAUUCUUAUACAAAAGACUAAUGUUUAAAUGGUUACGGUGCUGUUAAAUCACUUUGUAAUAAAAAGUUGCAAAUAUUCUGUCUAAAUGAAGUUGCAAUGCAUGUUCUUAUGGGUGGCAAAUUUUGCCCAUAUAUAAUGACUUGGAUCACUUAUAUUUUAAUUGGUUAAAUAUGAGUUUCAAGCUAUUUUAAGAGUCUCUACUAAUAUGGUCAAAAUGCGUUAAAUAUGGAUAUCCAUAUUGACCCAUAAUAGAUCACUUAGUUUUCACUCCACUCAAAAUUCUUAAUAAUGCUAAAAAAUAAAAAAAUUAAUAUUAAUUUUCAAACUUAAUUGAAAAAAUAGAUUAUUUUUUUUGUUUUUGGAAAACAAAAAAAAUUUAAGGGUAGGUUGGUGGAAAGGGGAGGCGCCCUGGGUGGGGGGUGCUCGGGGGAGGGGGUAAAUUUUUAUUUUUUUUGUUUUUGGAAAACAAAAAAAAAUUUAGGGGUCGGUUGGUNNNNNNNNNNNNNNNNNNNNNNNNNNNNNNNNNNNNNNNNNNNNNNNNNNNNNNNNNNNNNNNNNNNNNNNNNNNNNNNNNNNNNNNNNNNNNNNNNNNNCACUUGGGGAUGUCUAAGAAGUUCUGUGAGUAUCCAUAACGUUGAUGAUGCUGUAGUGUCCAUUGCAGCUAUAAGCAUGUCCUGUAUAGUAAAACGGAAACAGAGGAAUUAAUUAGUAGUACAAACCAUUUCAUUCUCAAGGCUUGUUGUAUAUUAAGCUUAUAUUAGUAUAUAUGACUUAUAAAUGGGAUGAAAGUACAUACAAAGAGGAUAGCUUUUAUGUGACGACGGUCAAACUGAAAUUCCGCUUCUCCAGAUUGCAUUAUGCCCAUCAUGGUGUCCACAAAGUCCUUGGUUUGCUUCUGGUCGUGUGAAUGAACAUGUUCAUCAAUAAUCUUCUCAAGGAACUCAUCAAACACCUUCGAAAGAUCCUUGAGCUUGCGAGUGAGACCCUGGAGAUCAAUAGCACCAAGGAAGGGGAAAAAAUCACCAAGAUUUGGCGUUGCUGCUAAAUGCACAACAUCUUGAACAACAGAUUUGAAUCCCCUCUUGUCCAAGUCCUCAUCCAUGUACUUCUUUCCAAACACCAUUAAACAAGUCAAGUUAGCACUCAAGGACGUAAUCUUUGCACUAAGAUCAACAACUACACGAUCAUGAGCUUCCUUUUUAAGCGACUCAAUAAGAAGUUCAACUUCUUGUUUUCUGAUGGAUUGAAAUGAAUUGAUCUUGUUAUUGCUCAAAAGGUGCACAGUGCACAAUUUGCGCAUGUUACGCCAAUACACACCAUACUUUGCAAAUAUCAAAUUCUUCUGUCCAUAAGACAAAUAUUGAGAUGCCUCAUGAUGAGGCCUAGUAGCAAAUAUGUGAUCAUAUGUCUUGAGGACCUUUUCAGCUGCAUCAGCAGACGAGGCAAUGAUUGUAGGUACUAGUCCCAAUCGGACAUACAUAAUAGGACCAUGUUUGUUGGCUAGUUUUUGUAAAUCUUGGUGUGGAUUUUUGCCUAACAAAUGAAGAUGUCCUAAAAAAGGAAGCCCUUUUGGACCUGGAGGAAACUUUUUCCUCUUGUGAAUGUUUAUCAGCUCAUACAAGGCAUAUGUAAAUAGACAAAACACUAGAGCUGUCCAUAUCAAAGUCAUUGAGUUGGAAAUGCAGGGGAAGAGCAGUAAUAGAUGAGUUAAGGAUGUCAUCACUAAGUAUAUAUGCAAUAUUCCUAUAAUUGAUAUGCAGUGUAUCAAGUCAAAUUACUCAUAGAUGAGCCCAGAAGUCAAUUAAUACUCAACCAAUCUGAUAAGUCUGGGAAUGGGACAAAUGACUAUACACACAUUUUAAUAUCAGCAGCCCAUGUUAUAUCUCUUGUUUUCUAUUUCUUUUCCAAGAAAAAUAUAUAUACUUGUCAUUCACUUAAACAUUAUGGUUGAAAUCUUUGAAUCUACAUUACUGUUAAAGUUUAAAAAAAAAACAAAAACAAAUCUGACCGCCCUUUUAUCUUAAAAAAAUAUUAAAGAUCAGUGAAUCAUUUCUGAAUAACAAUAAAUAUACAUGUGUCAUUUUAACUUGUCAUGUAGAUGUCAUGUAAGGCGCAUAUGUUUAUUUGUUCAACUUUAAAUAAGUUUAAAUGUCCUAUGUGUAUUAUGCUAGGAUAUGUGUGUUCACUUGUUCAACUUUAUAAAAGUGUAAGAGUCUGAUUGUGCAUACUCAAAGUUGGUGGGCAUAAAUGUCAACUGAAACCAAAUUAAAUGACACAUUUAUGUAUGGCAUAAUUCAUAUAACUUAGCCUCAUUUUAUAUUUAUGUCGUCCAACUUUGGAUGUACAUAAAUAAACAUUUAAACUUGUAUAAAAUUGAAUAAGUAGACACAUGAGGACUCGGCUCCCCUCUAUUGGCCAUCUUCUCCAGUUCGUCCAGUGCUGCCUUAUAUUUGUUACACGUGUCUAGUUUGUGACUCCACGGACAUGAUUUAUUUACUAACUAAAAUAUCUUAACAAUAGUCUCUUUUCUUUUCAUUACACUGUACCAGAAUUAGUUUCCUCUUUCUUUCAAAUGUCGCAGAGAGAGCCCUCUUCUCCUCCGCCGGCGAACCACCCUGAAUUUCGCACUCGCAAAAUUAAAUACUGGACUUUCAUCAUAUAUUGUGAUUUAUUUAUUGAUAUCCUAAAUAAAAAUUAACCUUACCAAUCUCGAAAUAAUACAUAAAUCAUGAAAUAUAGUGUUGUUCUGACUUGUGAAAAUUAUGCAUGUAUCUGGCUUAUUUAUAGUAAAACUAGUCUUACUAUAAAGAGUGUUUUGAAGUAGUUAUCUUCCAAAUCAUCACUUACUCGUUUGACUUGGAAAAAGAUUCAAGAGAUGUUAGCUUUCAAUUGUUGUUACCAAUUGUCCAUCCAUGGUUGAAUUCCAUAUAUACUUUUAUCAGAGACCUAAAAUCUUUUUCUUGACCGGCAAUUUGUUCCCUUUUUGUUGAAAUCGUUGCUUUAGUUUUACUUGGUGGUAGAUUUUUCUUUGUGCAAUUCAAUUUACAAACUUUUGUUUACAGUGUUAUGAAACAAUAAGAGAGCCUAUCAAUUAUGCCGGCGGAACUUCCAAGUUCGGGGAUGAAUAUGGACUAAAUACAAUUUGCCAGAUUUUACUUUGUAAAGACUCUCUUAACUAUGGUUAGUAUAUAGUAGUUAAUAAAUAGAUCACAUCCAUUGAAAUUUUAAGUGGACACGUGUAACAAAUAUAAGGCAAUACUCGACGAACUGGAGAGGAGCCGCGUCCGACACAUGAGUCAUAUGUGGCAUACAUCAUGUAAGACUCAAAUUGUCACAUAGGAUGCCACGUAAGACGCAUAUGUCUAUUUGUUCAACUUUAUACAAGUUUAUGUGUCUAUUUGUACACACCCAAAGUUGAAAGACAUAAAUGUGAGCUAGGGUCAAGUUAAAUGACAUAUUUAUGUAUUAUGCUUUUAUGUAUUUUGCCUUUCUGAAUUGGUGAAUAUUUUAAUCGAUAACUAAUUAUCAUUUACAAAAUUGUGACUAUACACAUAGAGAGUGUAGGUUUUUACACUAUCAAGACAACAUAAUAGUUCAUAUGUGUUCCGAUCAGAGAGUACGUCCUAGUCGUAACUCAUAACAUGGUGCUUAGAGUCACAAGUGAUUCUGAGCUAACCCUUGAUAUUGACACAAGUCAUAAUCAACUAAAUAUAUACAUAAAUAAGAACUUAAAUGGCUGAGUGGAAGCAUAAUUAUGGAAUAAGUUAAUUCAAUACAUUACUGAACAAAGUUUGGUUUACAAUAAUUAUAAUCUAUAAAGAAACUGAAACUAAGUAGAUUGAAUAAUCAACUCUAACUGAUUGUCUAUGAAGCUUCUACUAAUACUGAAUACAAGUAGUCAGGACAUGAUCCCCUACUACCCUUAAUAAAUACAUAUAAAAACAAAUAAGAUACUAGAAUUACAAAUUGACUUGAGUCCUCAAACAAAGAGAACUCAUUACCUCCUGGUUGUAAGCUGUGAUAUGCAUGACCAGGAUCCUAAUAGAAGCAUCUGAAUCUACAUCACAUGAAUAAUAUAUGCAACAGAUCAGGUAUGCGAUUAGUACUUUGAAUUUACUGAGUAUGUGAGAUAUGCAUGAUAAUUUGUAAAGCUCAACAUGAAGAAUUCAAGAUACUAACUUAAUACGAAACUAAUACAUAUAAUUUGAUGAAAUGAUCAAGUAGUAAAAUAGGCAACUGAUAAAUAUUGAUUGAAAUAACUGAAUACAAGGUCAUGCAAUAUCUGAGAUUAAAUUGUGGAAGGUACUAUUAACCGACAUAUAAAAAUGUGACCUAAACAUGAAGUUUGAUGUAUAAUCCCCAUUGAAAAGGGUCAAACAUAACUUGCCAAGAGGUAAAAGUUGAUCUGAUCUGAUGUGGCACCAUUAAGCUUAUAAAAUGUGUCCACUAUGGGGUAAAUAAACCUAUGGUAACACGUAAUUUUGAGACUUAGGUAUACUAGCCCUAGUCUAAUUUGAUGCUAAGCACUACUUCCAACCGAACAUAACCGAUAGCUUCUGAGAAUGUUUUUCAUAAUCAUGGAUGCCAUACUUGAUUGGCAUACUACUAGUGAACUUUGUUUGUAUAAGAAAACUGAUCCACGAUCAUUGGUGGCAUUCCGGAUAUCAUACUUUUGGGAAAAUGUUCAAAAAAUAUUGAUGACAUAUCUAGAUGUCAUGCAUGUCGUAUAUCUUAAUGUUAUGAGUUGAAGCUCCUGAAUACUAAAAUCUAGUAGUGGAGUAAUAGAUACUUUAUCUGGAGGCCUCUUAUGCACGUUCAAUUGAAAAGCUGAAUGUAAAACAAAUCAUGAAAAAUUAUGUAUUCUGACUAAGACAUGAAAUUUAAAAGAUAUAAGUCUAAAGACAUGAAAUUUACUUGUCCUGAGGAUUCUUGAAAAUAUACUCAAGUAAAUAUACAAAAAUAUAUGGAAAACCAUGUAUUUGUAGACUAUCCGUGAGAAAAAACUGCUAAAAAACAACGGACGGCAUCGCUCCAAAAAGCGACGCCAUUUGCCACACUGUCCGUCGCUUUUUAAUAAAAAUAACUAUUUUUAAAAUUAUUUUACAAAAAGCGACAGACGACAUCUCUUAGUCCGUUGCUUUUUUUCGCGGAUUUUUGGGCCAAAUAUAUAUAAAAUUAAUAAUUAUUUAUUUAAUAUAUAUAGCGACGCCGUCCGUCGUUUUAUUAAAAAUAAUUAUAUAUUAAUUAAAAUAUUAACGACGUUGUCCGUCGCUUGAUAUUUAUUUUAUUUUAUUAAAUAUUCUUUUUAUUAUAUCGACAGACGACAUCUUUAUGUUCGUCACUUGUAGUCAAAAUAGGUCGGUCAACUAUUUUUAAAAAGCGACGGACAGUGUCUCUUUUUCCGUCGUUUUUUGGUCAAAAUGUUGGUCAACUUUUUAAAUGAAAAGCGACGGAUGGGGAGACGUUGUCCGUUGCUUUUCAUUAAAUAUCUGAAAUAGCAGACGCAUUUUUCCCCAUUUUCCCUCUCUUCCUUCUCUCUUCUUUCUCUCUAAAGAUUCCGCGGCUGCUUCCGUUGCUUGCCACCACCGCUGCUGUCAACGCCGCUGCUGGAAUCACUGCUGCCGUCACUACUUCCUCUCUCCAUUGUCUCUUUCUCCAUUAAUUUAAGGUUAGGGUUUUAUCAAAUUAGUUUUAAAUUUUUUCAAUUUUAGUUAUAGUUGAUUAUGUUAAUUAGUUUAUUGGAUUUGUGUUUUAUUGAAUGAUUGAUUGUGUUUGAUAGUGUAUUGAAUUAGUUUUUUAUUCAUUAUUAGUUUGGUUGAUUGUUAGUUAGUAAGUGAAUGAUUUAGGGUUUUUGAUUUUGUUAAUUAGUAUUGAAUUUGUUUUUUAUUGAUUGUUAUAAGUUUGAUUGAAUGAUUGUUAGUUAGUUAGUGAAUGAUUUAGGGUUUUUGAUUUUAGGUAGGAUUGAUUGAUUAUUAUAAGUUUAGUGGAGUGUUAAUCUAGAUGAAUUGAAAUUUGAUGAACUGAAGUUAGAUUUAGAACUUGAUUUUGAAAUUUGAAUAUAACUAAUUAAUUCUUGAGUUAGAAUUUUAUGUAUAAUUAAUUUUAGAAAUUGGAUAUAUAUGAUGAAUUUAAUUAGGACUUGAAGUUGUUGAACUUAAUUAAAACUUGAAUACAGUUAUUGAACUUGAACUUGAAUAUAAUAACUAGCUAAUUUUUGGAUUUGAAGUUUAUGUAUAACUAAUUUUAGAACUUUGAUAUGAACUUGAAUUUAGAACUUGAACAUUGAACUUAGAACUUAAUAACUAAUUCUUGAUGACCUCAAUUAAUUUGAACUUAAUAAUUGAACUUUGAACUCAAUUAACUUUGUGAUAAUUUUUGUGUGUCCAUCGAGUGCUUGUUAAGCAUAAGCAUCAACACUAGUUGAUCGUAUUGAUGACAAAAUUGAUUUUCUUGCAAGAUCGAUUUGUGUCCAUCUAGUGUUGACACUUAGCUUUAAAAAGUUGUUAAGUUGUUNNNNNNNNNNNNNNNNNNNNNNNNNNNNNNNNNNNNNNNNNNNNNNNNNNNNNNNNNNNNNNNNNNNNNNNNNNNNNNNNNNNNNNNNNNNNNNNNNNNNNNNNNNNNNNNNNNNNNNNNNNNNNNNNNNNNNNNNNNNNNNNNNNNNNNNNNNNNNNNNNNNNNNNNNNNNNNNNNNNNNNNNNNNNNNNNNNNNNNNNNNNNNNNNNNNNNNNNNNNNNNNNNNNNNNNNNNNNNNNNNNNNNNNNNNNNNNNNNNNNNNNNNNNNNNNNNNNNNNNNNNNNNNNNNNNNNNNNNNNNNNNNNNNNNNNNNNNNNNNNNNNNNNNNNNNNNNNNNNNNNNNNNNNNNNNNNNNNNNNNNNNNNNNNNNNNNNNNNNNNNNNNNNNNNNNNNNNNNNNNNNNNNNNNNNNNNNNNNNNNNNNNNNNNNNNNNNNNNNNNNNNNNNNNNNNNNNNNNNNNNNNNNNNNNNNNNNNNNNNNNNNNNNNNNNNNNNNNNNNNNNNNNNNNNNNNNNNNNNNNNNNNNNNNNNNNNNNNNNNNNNNNNNNNNNNNNNNNNNNNNNNNNNNNNNNNNNNNNNNNNNNNNNNNNNNNNNNNNNNNNNNNNNNNNNNNNNNNNNNNNNNNNNNNNNNNNNNNNNNNNNNNNNNNNNNNNNNNNNNNNNNNNNNNNNNNNNNNNNNNNNNNNNNNNNNNNNNNNNNNNNNNNNNNNNNNNNNNNNNNNNNNNNNNNNNNNNNNNNNNNNNNNNNNNNNNNNNNNNNNNNNNNNNNNNNNNNNNNNNNNNNNNNNNNNNNNNNNNNNNNNNNNNNNNNNNNNNNNNNNNNNNNNNNNNNNNNNNNNNNNNNNNNNNNNNNNNNNNNNUUAAGUCAAUACUAAACUAGUUUUAGGACUACUACUAGUAAAAUUAUUAUUAAAUUUUAUUUAUAAUAUAAUUGAAUAUCUAUAUUUUUGUAGAUGGAUCAUCGUUUGUGGAUGUAUAAUAUGCAUUAUGAAACUGGUGCUGGUUUGAAACCUGAGUUUAUUGACGGUGUUAGAAAUUUUAUUGAACAUACAAUGACACUUGACAUUUUCAAGAAGAAUGGACUGGUUAGGUGUCCUUGUAGUGCAUGUAAGUCUUUAAAAUUUUAUAAACCAGAUACAGUUAUGGUUCAUUUGUACCGUAAUGGAUUUAAGCCUAGAUAUUUUGUAUGGAUUGAUCACGGAGAAAUAGAUGGAUUGAAUGAUAUGUUUUAUAAUUCGAUGCAUUUGGAUGAAUAUAAUAUGAUUGCAUCACAUGGUCAAAUUAGGGUUGAACAUGAUAAGGUUCACGAAAUGAUCAAUGAAACUUUCGGGGCUCAAGGUGGGAUGGAACCGGAACAAUAUUUUUGAUGAAGCUCCUAAUGAAGAAGCAAGACGGUUCUAUGAUAAAUUAGAAGAGUCUAGUCAUCCAUUAUGUGAAGGGAGUCCGCAUUCUGCCUUGUCAGUUGCGGUUAGAUUAAUAAAUAUUAAAUCAUAUUGGAAUGUUCCUAAUGCGGCUAUGGACUCAAUGGUUGAUCUUUCGGGUAAACUAGUUAAUCCGAAGUUUAACAUACCUAAGAACUUCUAUCAGGCAAAACGUUUGGUUUUCAAGUUAGGAUUGACGUAUGAUAGAAUUCAUUGUUGUGUUAAUGGUAGCAUGUUGUUUUACUAGACUGAUAGUGAAUUAGAAAAUUGUAAGUUUUGUGGACAUGCUCGUUAUAAGAGGACUCCGGCUGGAAAGAUGGUCCCAGUUAAGGCGAUGCAUUAUCUACCUCUCAUUCCUAGGUUAAAGAGGUUGUAUGCAUCGAUGAGGUUUGCCCCAUAUAUGAGAUGGCAUCGUGAAUAUAGAAGGUCGCCGGGUGUCUUGUCUCAUCCAUAUGAUGGUGAAGCAUGGAAGCAUUUUGAUAAUGUAUAUCCUGAUUUUGCUAGUGAACCAAGAAAUGUUAGAUUGGGGUUGUGUGCAGAUGGCUUCACACCAUUCUCUAAUUCUUCUUCUCCUUAUUCAUGCUGGCCGAUAUUUCUUACUCCGUAUAAUCUUCCUCCUGAAAUGUGCAUGACCAGUCCUUACAUCUUUCUAGUGAAAGAAAUAGCACUUGGACCUUAAUCUCAAGUACUGACAAUGAAUCAGUAUUGUGUCAAUGGUUUUAAGUUUCAAACUGAAGAUGUUUCUAGGAACAAGAAAACAAAUAAUAGUGGUGUCUACAUACAAGGUGAUGUUGAUAGUACUGGCAAAACUAUUGAAUAUUAUGGUGUCAUUCAUGAGAUUAUUGAAGUGAGGUAUUCAGGUUGGCCUAAGAAGAAGAUUGUAUUGUUUCGGUGUGAGUGGUUUGACCCAUCACAUAGAGGCACAAAGGUGGACCAUCAACAUAAUAUAAUUGAAGUUAAGCACACCAGGAAAUACAGAAGUUAUGAUCCUUUUAUCAUUGCACAAAAUGCUAAACAAGUGUAUUACGCUCCAUAUCCAUUGAGUAGAAACAAAGCUGAUUGGGGGGUUGUUAUAAAAAGUAAGCCUGUGGGAAGAAUUGAAAUUGACAAUGUCUUAGAUGUGACAUAUAAAAAUAAUGUUGCAAUUGUUCAACAACAAGUUGAUGUUGAAUUGGAAACCACACUACAACAUCCCCAACACAUAUUAGAAGAAGUAUCUGAUGAUGAGAUACUGAAUGUUGAGGAAGAAAUAUCCGAGAAUGAGGAAAAUGAAUCAUUUGAUGACAAAGAAUGGGACGAUAAUGAAAAUGAAACAACUGCGGAGGAAGAAUGAGAGAAUAAUGGAAUUAAAACAAGCGAGGAGGAAUAGUGUAGAAUGAAAGCUAGCUAGUAUAUAUAUGUAAGUUAGUGUAUUUUGUCUAAUUUUAUUUAAUUUAUGAUUUUUAUAUAUAUUAUACAUGUAAAUUUGCAUACAGAUGUCAUCAGACGGUGACAGUGAUAGACAUCGCGAGCAUCUUGGAGUUAGCCAGACUAAACAUGCUAAAAAGAAGAAGUCUAGGAGACCCAUAGAUCCUGAGGAUAUUGCAGGAUCUAUUUCUUCUGCCACCAGAGCGCAUCAGCCAUGAUACUCAUUUAUUUGCUGUUUCGUUUGGUACGACAGAUCCUCGGUAAUAUUAUCCUAAUUACCGUCGACUAGUCGGUGCUUCCUCUACUUCACAGACAUUGCCUUCACGACGCUACGAGGACCUACCUUUACAUGCUAUUCAUCGAGCAUGACCCUUAUCGGCAGGUACUCCAUCUCCCACAGGUACAUCUCCUUAAUUAUCUGUCAUGAGGAUUGGAGAUUCUAGUAGCGAGCAGUCAGAUGCUAUGGCCGGUAUGCCUCUAUUGACUCAGCGUUUUGUGCAUCCUGAUGUAUCACCCUCAUCUACAGCUACACCUAGUGUUACACCAGAUGAUGUGAUGCCUGUUCUAGCUCCAGGCCAGAAGGACAGACUUGGUAGAGUCAUGAUUGAGCCUGAUGGAUCAUCGUAAGUUUGUUUUGUUAUGUAUUUGUUAGUUUAUUUUAUUUUUUUCUUAUACUUUAAUAUAUUAUUCAUGAACUAACAUAUUUAUUAUGUGUUUUGCAGGUGCCAUCUUGCAAAGGAUGCUGCCCGGGCUUUAAAAGGCUGUGUUAGAAGACUUUAUACACAGGCUUAUCACUCUUGGAGCGAGAUUCCAAACAGUAUACGCCAGACGAUGUUUAAUAACUUUAAGGUAUAUAUUUUUUAGUUAAGUUUAGUAUACUUUACUUUUUUUUACUGUCGAUCUAAUUAACGUUAUUCAAUUUUUUUUCAUACUAUGUGUACUUGGGAGUCGAGGUACAAUUUGGUCAUUGGGACCACAUUUGAGAGGAAGGCAUCCGCCAAACUGUCUAGCUGGCUAAAGAGAGUCCGGGAUAGUGGUGAACGUCCGAAUUGGAUGUUGCCAUCAUGUUUUUGAUGAAUUGGGUCAAUAUUGGAACACAAACAAGUUUAAGGCAAUAUCAAAACAAGCCAAAAAGGCUAGAGGCAAUCUUAAGAGUGACUCGUUGCACACAGGAAGUGCAAAGAUCGUUGGAACAAUUGCAUGAGAGAUGGUAAGUUCUAAUUCAAACUUUUAAAUAAAUAAUUAGUUGAUUCAUAUAUAUCGUUAUAAAUUUCAGUUUUUAUUUAUAGGAAAAAGAAUUGGGAUGCACUCCCAUUGAAUUGGAGGUUUUCAAGAAGACUCAUGUCAGGAAGAAAGAAAAUGAGUUGGAUCCGGAUAUGUGGGUGGAGGAAAGGGCCGAACGAACUUUUGUAAGUUAUUUAAUAUGAAUAAUUAUAUAAAUAGUGAAUAUAUUUAUGACAAGUAUAUAUAUAUUGAUGUCAAUUUUUAUAUUUAACGAGCAGAAUGACUUUUAUCAGUACGUCACUGAGAAUCUAGAUAGUUCGGUCCAANNNNNNNNNNNNNNNNNNNNNNNNNNNNNNNNNNNNNNNNNNNNNNNNNNNNNNNNNNNNNNNNNNNNNNNNNNNNNNNNNNNNNNNNNNNNNNNNNNNNNNNNNNNNNNNNNNNNNNNNNNNNNNNNNNNNNNNNNNNNNNNNNNNNNNNNNNNNNNNNNNNNNNNNNNNNNNNNNNNNNNNNNNNNNNNNNNNNNNNNNNNNNNNNNNNNNNNNNNNNNNNNNNNNNNNNNNNNNNNNNNNNNNNUCACUAAAAGUUUUUAACAUUAAAUUCUAAUUUUGUGUUUUUUUCUUCAUUGUUUUUAAAAAACCAACUAUGAUAUCAAUUAAGUAGGAGUUUGAAGACACUAUAUGUUUUAUUUUUAUGUCAUUUGUAAAUGUAUAAAAUGUACAAUGAUGCAUUAUAUAUAUAUAUAUAUAUAUAUAUAUAUAUAUAUAUAUCGCAAUCGAAAAUUAAUUAUCAUAUUUUUUUGUUGAAAAAAUAGGUUUUACUAGCGAAUGGUUGUUGGAGCCUUAGUCGCCACUAAAAAUCACUCAUAACCUUUAGUGACAAUAUUUUGGGAUUUUGUGGCGACUUUGUCGCCACUAAAAGUCAAGUUCUUUUGUAGUGAAUCUUAGUUGGCAAUGCUUAGGUGGAGGGAUUAGUCCCAUGUUGCUUGCCACGUCACUAAAAAAUUGGGGUAUUAACUCUUGAGGGUAUUUGUGGUCUCCUGGGAUAACUGUGGGGGUAUUUUUGAUCCCAAAAUGUAAUUGAGGGUAUAAGUGGUCUAUUUCUCAUAGUUCAGGGGCAAUUUUGACCCUUUUCCGUAUAUUUAAUAUGCAAAAUGAGUUUCAUCAGUACGUCGCUGAGAAUCUAGAUAGUUCGGUCCAAUUGACACCUGAACUUUCCACCCAGAUUUGGAAAGAAAAAGUGGUAGGGGGGACACACAAGGGUAGAGUCUAUGGUUUAGGCUCUUGAAACGAUGUAAGAUGACUCCAUUCAGGCUUAGAAGGUAUUGGAUCAUCAUGUCAAGCUGAGGCACUUGACGGCGUUCAGAUUGUUGCUAUGUCGGCUCAAAUAGCUAAACUUAUAGCGGCACUGGUAGAGUCGGAGUGGAGAAGAGUAGCUGAACAAAAAAGCAUGAGUGAGACCGUUCAGCAAAUCAAAGAACAAGUGAUGAACCUCGCUCAACGACCUACUACUUCGGCUCCCGAUGAUACCGACGACGAGAGUGAUGAUGAUGAUUAUGUAGAUCCCACUCCCUAGUUUAGAUCUAUGGACAUUUAUGAACUUUUUGAAAUUUUGAAACGAAUUUUGAAAGGCUUUAUAAGUCUUUAAUUUGUGAUUUAGAUACUUUUGAAUGUUAUUUUAAGUUUGUUGUUUUAUGUUUUGUUUAGAUUGUUUAUACUUGUGUAUGUUUAAUUGGGCUGAAUAUUGUAGAAUUGAAUUGAAUUGCAUUUGCAGGUGGGCACCAGAAAUUGCCAGUUUCUGCUGUAAAAAAUAUUGUAGAAAAAGCAACGGACAACGUGGUUUUGUCCGUCGCUUCUCAGGGUUUUAUUAUUUUUUUAAAUCCCAGAAAAGCGACAGACAACAUGGUUUUGUCUUUCACUUUUCAGGGAUUUUCAAAAAUAAAUUAUCCAGAAAAGCGACAGACAGGGUCCUUUUGUCCGUAGCUUUUAUGGGAUUUUCUGUCACGCCCCGAGUCUACACCCUGGGCGGGACUGACACUCGAAGACCAUUGCUAGCCCCAAGCGAACCCUGGGCCUGACUUACUUAACUCAGCGGAAGACAAUGUGCAUAUUAAUAAAGAUCAAUAGCGCUUAAUUGAACUGAAUACUAAAAUAACUGAGAAUGCUUAAAGGUUAUACAUUCAACUUGGCCAAAAGUGGAAACCCAAGUCUUAACAAUAAGAAUGAUAAUGUAAAGACUACUGAACUACUAACUAUCUAUGAAGCCUCUAAAACAACUGAGAUGGAUGUUGGGACAAACCCCACAACAUCCUAAUGAACUAAACUAGAAAGCGAAUAAAAGAGUCCUCCGAAAUGCAAGGAGGCUCACCAACAGACUCUGAAUGCUCUAAGAUGGAUCAACGAGGUGCUGGAUGCUGAUCCUGAUUACCUACGUCUGUAUAUAAUACAAUGCAGGCCAACUAGCAUUAGUACAUUGAAUGUACGAGUAUGCGAGUUGGAAUGCUAACAUACACAGGCUUGAAAAAGAUUAUGAAAGAAACACUUACCUUGGCUCUUCUAAACUCUUGAAUAACUCAAUUCCAUAUAAAGCAAUAAAACACAUGCGAUAUAUAUAUAUAAAGCUUAUAAAACAACUGAAAACAAUCUUAGUUCGUUUAAAGAUAAAACAAUAACAAACUUAACUUUACUUCAUAUAAAAAGUAAAAUAACUUAUAUGGGAGAUUCUCUAACCGACAACCAUCACUAUGAGCCUAAGUGAUGGUACAACACUUUACCUCACGUUGCCAAGGACCAUCCUAUACCUUGUCAUCGGUAUAGAACCUAAACUACUAAGUGGAUCUACUAGUUUAUGCUGAAAAGCACUAAGGAAUCUUCUAAAAAGUAUGACCCUUUUUCUCCCCAUGAUGGCUAUAUGGUUUAUGGGGGCUUGAGUUAAUAUGAACUCGCGUCCCCAUAUCGGUGCUCAAUACUACUCCCAAAAUAUACUUAGCUCAUAUGUUUUAACACAACUUCUUCUCUGGUUUGAGAUAAUUACUCAAACUUAGCUUAAAAGCUCUCUUGGAAUCAAUGUUCCCUAUUUUUGUUCAAAACUCUUUUGGAAAUCUCAGUUUCCUCUCAUCUUAAAUGUGAAAACAUUUACUCUUGGGAAUACUUAGUUCCCAUAUAUCAUUUUAAAGAAAAUGAACUUUGCUCGUACUCUUUACUCAACUUCAAAACUUAAGUAUUAAAACAAAGUUAAAACGUUUGUAAAAGACUUAUGAAAACUUGAAAUAAACUUCUCUUACUUGACUCUUGACUUCUCUUGACUUGACUCAUAACUGAUCCUUGAAUUGAAUUAUGGAUUCAAGGAUUAAGAUUUGUGAUUUGAAAGAUCUCAUGUUGUUUAGGAAUGGUUUUAGAUAGCUAAACAUGAGAAAAGAUCGAAAAUCAAAAUAAGAAGGUGGGUCCUCGACGCGGAGGCAUAAUUAAAUUUUGGUUUCAAAAACGUCUUUUGAGGUAGAACGCUUUGUGACAACUCCGCGACGCGAAACAGAAAUUUCCAAAUCUGGGAACCUACUCCGUGACACGCUCCUAGCAGACGAAAUUUCUUCUCCGUUUUCCAACCCCAAUUCACCCAAACUCGGUUCUUUUUCUCAAUUUUCUUUUAGAUACAGAUACCCAGCAAAUGUACCUAAGAACCUAACUCGAAACGACUCUAUGAUGCGACGUACGAACUCAGAAACUUCCCAACUCAGUCAAAUUCAAGAACAAUAUAUGAAUUCAAGAAUAGAUAUCAAGAUCAUCAAUAUUCAAACUCAUUUAGGUCGAAUCCAAAUUGAAGUUAAUAUUAUUGGCCCGUGGGAGAAUGAUCCCAACGUUAUGAGAGCCUCACAUACCUGAUAAAAGUAAAUCCUUGGCGAAACACCAACUUUCUUGAUCGAUCUUGAUGAAUUUGCCCUCUUUCUCAUUCUUCUUUUCUCUUCUCCUUUCUCCUUAGCCCUAGCGUGAAAUCCCAAAUUCUAAAAACUGGCUAAAAAUCUGAUUUGACCCAUAUUAAACUCCUAAAAAUGGAUUAAAAUAAUUGGGCAACGAAAAGACUAAAAUACCCCUAAAAAUUCUGGAUUGGACAUUUCCUUAAUCCAGUAGCCCAACUUCCAAAGGGCAUAACUCACUCAUACGAACUCGGAAUCGCGCAAACUUGGCGGCGUUGGAAAGAUCAUUCCAAGAGAUUUCCAACCAUAUUUGGAACUACACCUAACUCAUCCUGAUCUAGGAGUUAUGACUAUUUGAAGUUGACCAAAAACUCACUUUUCCUAACUUUAACAAUUUUUCAGAUUUUAAACUUCCUUCUAGUUCAUUUUAGUUGCGAGAUGUUACAUUUUCAAAAAUAAAAUUUUCAGAAAAAAUUGACGGACUGCGUCGCCUUUUAGAAAUAAAAAAAAAUUAAAAUUAAAAUAAAGCAACGGAGUCCGUCGCUUUUGUUAAAAAAAAGUCAAAAAGCGAUGCAGUCCGUCGCUUUUUGAAAAGCAUCGAGCUAAAAAGCGAUGGAGGUGACUGCGUCGCUUUUCUGUCGAUUUUGACCAAAAAAGCGACCCAAUCCGUCGUUUUUUGACAAUUUUUUAGUAGUGAGAUAUUAAAAUUGAAAUUCAUGUUGAUCAUAAGAAACCUAGAUUUCUAUAGAUUUCAAAUAAUUGAAAUACGGAGUUCUCUUUGAAAUUUAAUUGGUGAAAAAAACCUAUUGAUGAAAUCUCGCAUACCUAAAUUUCACGAAUUAUUAGAGAAAAGUUUUGGGCUUACAACUUUAUAACUUGAACUUGAGAAAUCCUUCUAUAGACUUCUUCAAGAUGAAGUUUGUGAAGAAUCUUGAUUGGAAAAUUCUAGGAUUCUUGAAGAGAAUCUUGAACUUGGAAAAAUCUCUUUCUUGACAUUCUUUAGUUUUGGGAGAAGAAGAAUUAGGGAUUUAACAGGGGCGGCUCUAUGCUUUGUAAAAUAAGGCUUAUGCCUUAGGCCCCAAAUUUUGGGGGCCCCAAAUUUUUAUUAAGAAUAAAUUAUGUGUUAAAUUUUUAUAGUAAAAAUGGAUUAUUUAAGAUAAAAAGUAUAAUAUUUUAAAAAAUAUAUUAUUUCACCCACUUUAACAUCUUUUGUACUUUGUUAAAUAAGAAUUAAUAGUGAAAAGUGUUGAACAAAUUGUAUUACAAAUUCUUUUUUAUUUGUUUUAAAAUUUUGGUUUCAAGCAUUAGAACAAGCAUAUUAAAAUGGGGUAUACCAAGUCAUCAACUUCUUGAGAUUCUAUGAUUCUACUCUUAUCUUUAUUUAAUAUUUGUCAACUUAUUACUUAUAGAAUUAUGUUAACAAUUCAUAUAAUAAUUGCCUCACUGAAAGGAGGUAUUUCAAUGUUGAGCUGAUAAAAUCUUACCUAAAACUAAUAAUUGAAAAAAACAAUAUUAAAUUUCAUCUAAAUAGUGUUAGAAAAAUAAAAUUUGAAUAAAUACGUAUACGAAGUUUGUUUAUAUUUUAGGCCUUGAAUUGAAAUUUCGCUUUAGGCCCCCGAUUACGUUGAGCCACCCCUAUUAGGGAAUGCGGGUGUUGAUAAUGGGUAAAAGGGAAAGAAUACCCCUCUUGGAACAUAAGAGGACCUGGAAAAUAAAAGAAAACCACUUUUUAGUGAAUUAUGUUGGCGAAAUUGAGUUCAUAAUGACUAUCAUAGUUGUUUUGAGUUCUCAACGUAUUUUUCUUGUUUUGACCUGUUUCUUUGCUUUUGUAUUUCUUGUUUUGACCCUUUUCUUUGCUUUUCUAAUGACUAUCACAGUUGCUUUUGGUGAUGGUACUAUUAUUUGUGAUGGAAGUAUCUAUCAUUUUCUCUGUAUUUUGUGUUCAUCUGGAAUGUGUUUAUAAGUUUCUUUAUAAGAGGGUUUACUGUAAUUUACUACUUCCAUUGUCCCAAUUUAAUUUAUCAAUUUGGGUAUAGCUUUUUGAAUUUUAUAAAAUAAAAUUUACAUAUUUAAAAAUUAUACAAGAAGUACUAUAUGUCUCUAAUGAAUCCAAAUAUUUUAAGAAAAUAGAGAAAAUUAUAGUCAAAGAAAAAUCGUUUGACUCUUCAAACAAUAACACCUUCACAUAAAUGGGAUAUAGAGGAAGUAUCUUUUAAUCUAUUCAGUGUUGUCAUCAGGGGCGGAGCCACGUAGGCUCCAAGGGUGUCCAAUUAUACUAUAUAUACACGUAAAAUUUUGACUUUAUAUUGGUAUAUAUAGAAUUUGGACCCCCUGAAAUAACAAAGUGAUGCGCAAUGGAGUUGGCAAUAAGCUUGUGCAAUCCUACUCUUUAUCCCGAUUCGAUUCCCUGCAAGGUUGUUUUAUUUUUCUGUAAUUAUUUUGACUUCUUGAAUUCAAUUAAGUAAAUAAACAUGCGUAAUUUUAACAUAAAAGUUCAAUAGCUUGGUGGUUAAUAGUAUCAUGAAGGUCUCCAAGACUCAAGUUCGAAUCCCUCCUCUAAAUAAGAUUUCCUUGAAUUUAAUACUUUUUCUUGUGGAUUUUUUUCAAUUAAAAUUGAAUUACUUCCUUAAAUUUUAAUACAUUUUCCGUAUGGAAUAAGAUUUCCUUAAAUUUUAAUACUUUUCCCUUAUGGAAUAAGGUUUUCUUUCUCUAUAAAUAGGAGACUCAUUUACCCAAAUAUCACAAUAUUAUUAAGAAUAGAAUCUCAAUAAUUCUCUCUCUGUUUUUUCUUCUCGUUCUCUUAUUUUAUAACAAAAAUAACCAACUUAAUAUUUUAGUUUCAAGUUUCAAUAGACAUGAGGAAUUAUUAUAAUAGAGUACCAAAAAAAAGUUCGACUUCUCUAAGUCAACCAAAUAAAGAAACAACGGUAGAUCAAUUAGAGAUGUUGUCACAUUCUUCUCAAAAACAAAGCAUUGAUUUAAAUACUCUAAAAAUGACUUGCGAAAUCGAAUGGAUGAUGAGUUUUUAGACGGUUGUGUAGUGCCUUAUGUAGAAAAGAAAGUAUUUCGUACUAUUUCUAAUGAGUCUAUUAUAAAAACGUUUCAGAUUAUGAAACCUCGUCAAGUACAAUUGUAAUAAUAUAUUUAAAUUAUGUUUUCAAUAGUAGUUUAUUUUCUUUAUAUUAGUUUUGAAUUAUACACUUGUAAUUCUAUUAAAAAUAUUCCUAUAUUUAAUUAAAUAUUGCUUAACUUGAUUAUUUGUUUUGGUAAUUUAAAUCGUUAUUUUUAAAAAAAAAAUUACUAUUAAAAGUUUGGACACCCUUCAUUAAAUUCUUGGCUACGCCACUGGUUGUCAUGAUUUUCGUUAGGUUAGUUAAAAAUUGUCAUUCAAAAGAAUUAUAAGAGCUGUAGUUGUUAGUGUAAAAGCUAACAAUUGAGGAUGAAUAAGUAGUUUAUGCAUUUUUUGCAGGUUUGGACCCGAGUAUCAACGGGGUUGUAUGAGUCCACCACCAGUCAGGACACCAGGUCCCUUGACUGUUCUAGUAACAGAAAGUAAUUUAAAUGUUUAAAGUAAAAAACACAAAUGUUUACGUGGAAAUCUCCUUGCUCAAGGAAAGAAAAACCACAACCUGUCAAACAUGAUUUCUUAAAGCUCCAAUAACUUCAAGCAACUUGUGAAUACAAACUCGAGUACUCACAAAGGAUUAAACUCUUAAUCCUAAGCACCUUGUAACACCUAUAUUACAAGACACAAAGAAAUAACUCUAUUGCUCACUAUAUCAACUUCCUCUAGUUAACAUAGACUUCAAGCAAACACAACUAGGCUAACUCUAGCCACAAACUCAACUCACAAUCCUUUAAACUGACAUGAUAUAUUAUCAUUUAUAAUAUAGGAAUAGAUCUACAAUAUGAGAGCACAAGACAAUAAACUCAAAUAACAACUUAAGACUCAAUCAGGUCCCUCGUUAUGUGUAAAAGUAGUUCCUCUUUGAAAAUGACUUUUGCUUUUGAAUAAUCUUGGUUGCAAAAACGAGGUUGUUUCUUGUCAACAUAUCCAUUGUAUAAGAGAGACAAAACAACCUAGUAGCAUGCCAUUGAUCGAGGACUGUUGUCCUUUCCGUGCCUCUGCUGCAGUGCCCACCGACCACUGCAGUUUUUGUAGCUGUUGGCUUGUCCUGUAAAACGAAAACUUAGAGGACCAGGUCCUUUUACAUGGUCCUAUUUAGCUUGUUAAUUCAUCAAAACCCAAAAUACAACAAGCUAUAUCCUAUGUAUUGAGGUUGCUACACAUUCCACUGUAUUCUUGACAUUUUAUUUAUGUCAUUGUUCACUUAUUUGGUUAUGAUUUUCUUGAUGUGGGAAUAGUUAGGUGUCAUCACGACUUAGGAAAAUUGGGUCGUUAGUCGUUACAAUGAUGAUUCUUCAGUUAGGAACUUUCAUCUCUCGACUUGUUAAAACACAUUCAUCAAUAGGAAACAAGAGAGAAGAGGUCAAUUGUAUAUACAAUGAGACAUUUGGAAGAUACCAAUUUUAUUAGGUGUAGAUGUACUGUCAAUGCAAUAUUUGUAGAAUAGCAGGGAAAGCACACAACAAUCACAAAAUCAUAUAGUAGAACUUUCAAUGUUUCUUGUAAUAAAAUGUUGAAGUUUAGAAAUACUAGUUCUCUUACUAUAUAUGAUACAUUGUAUUUGCAUCAUUUCUUUAGUCUAUAAGUAGGAAUAGCCAGCAAAGGCUUUUCUCUACAUGUUACCAUCCCAAACUUCUCAUCGAUGUCUAAAUCACAAGGCUGAAUACCAUUUGGAAGCUCCCACUCAAAGCAAUGCACCAACUGUGCCACCAUAAAGGCGAACGAUGGUAACUCCCAACCGCAUUCCAGGACAGCUUCUUCUCCCAGAGCCAAAUGGUAAAAGUUGAAAGUCACGUCCACGAAAAUCUAUACUGCUCCCAACAAAUCUCUCAGGAAAAAACUUCUCAGGGUCAGGCCAAACAUUUGGAUCCCUAUGAAUCGCGUAACAAUUUAUUAUGAUUCGGGAUCCCUUUUGUAUGUGGAAAUCGUCGACUACACAAUCUUCCAUUGCCUCAUGAAAAAAUAGUGGCACUGCAGGAUGCAGCCUCAGGCCCUCAUUUACAACCAUGUUUAAGUAGUUUAAGUUCUCCAAGUCUGAUUCUUCUACCAUUCUUUCAAGGCCUACCACUUCUUGCAACUCGUUUUGGAGUUUCUUCAUCACUUGGGGAUGCCUAAGAAGUUCGGUGAGCAUCCAUUCUUCUGUUGAUGCUGUAGUGUCCAUUGCAGCCAGAAGCAUGUCCUGUAUAUAAAAGGAAACAGGGGAAUUUGUUAUAUAUUAAGCUUAUACUAGUAUAUAUGACUUAUAACUGGGAUGAAAGUACAUAUAUACCAAGAGGAUAGCUUUUAUGAGAUGACGGUCAAACUGAAAUUCUGCUUCUCCAGAUUGCAUUAUGUCCAUCAUGGUGUCCACAAAGUCCUUGGUUUGAUCCCGAUCAUGAUACUCGGCAUGUUCAUCAAUAAUCCUCUCAAGAAACUCAUCAAACACCUUUGAAAGAUCCUUGAGUUUGCGAUUGAGACCCUGGAGAUCAAUAACUCCAAGGAAAGGAAAAAAAUCUCCAAGAUUUGGUGUGGAUACUAAAUCCACAACAUCUUGAACAAUAGCUUUGAAUCCCCUCUUGUCCAAGUCCUCAUCCAUGUACUUCUUUCCAAACAUCAUCAAGCAAGUCAAGUUAGCAUUCAAGGACAAAAUCCUUGCACUAAGAUCAACAACUACGCGAUCAUGAGCUUCCUUUUUAAUGGAUUCAAUCAGAAGUUGAACUUCUUGCUUUCUCAUGGAUUGAAAUGAAUUGAUCUUGUGAUUGCUUAAAAGGUGAACAGUGCACAAUUUGCGCAUGUUGCGCCAAUACACACCAUACUUUGCAAAUAUCAAAUUCUUCUGUCCAUAAGACAAAUAUUGAGAUACCUCACUAUGAGGCCUACUAGCAAAGAUGUGAUCAUUUGUCUUGAGGAACUUCUCGACUGCAUCAACAGACGAGGCAACGAUUGCAGGUACCAGUCCCAAUUGCACAUACAUAAUAGGACCAUGUUUCUUGGCUAGUUUUUGUAAAUCUUUGUGUGGAUUUUUACCAGCUAACAAAUGAAGAUGUCCUAAAAUGGGAAAGCCUGUUGGACUUGGAGGAAACCUUUUCCUCUUGUGAAUGUUUAGUAGCACAUACAAGGCAUAUACAACUAGAAAAACCACUAGACUUGCCCAUAUCAAAGUCAUUGAGUUAGAAUAAGGAAAUCCAAUAUCCAAAGUUAUAUUUACAGGAACAAGUUCUGUAUUGAUAAUCUUAUACUUUUCGAAUGCUAAUUAGCAGGUAUCUACUUCUUUAAUUUCUAUAGGAAUAGACUUUAAUAAUGUGUAGGCCGGCUGGCUUCAUUUAUUUAUCACAAAAGACUUUUUUAUUUAUGUUAUCCGUUAAAAGUUUGACUCAUCUAUGCAACUUCCGUAUGAGAAAAGGCUCAUCCAUAUAUCAUUAUAUGGGUUAACGGAAAACCCAUCUGAUUUCGCAAAACCAUUUUAUCCACGUAACGAACAAUGAUUCAGCCACAUCAUUAAAUUUUUUAAAAACAAAAAAAUCAGUCAAAUUCUAAAAACCCAUUUGAUUUUUUACAAACCUACCCGGAAAAAUUAUGUGUAUUUUUUUAUAAUAAUAAUAAUAAUAAUAAUAAUAAUAAUAAUAAUAAUAAUUUUUAAAAAAUGUCCUAUAUUUUUAACGUUUAAUUUUGAAGCAGAAUGCAUCCAUCAUGUUACUCCGGAAUUUGAAUGUUCAAAUCACUAAAGUAACGACACAAGAAUGAUAGGUAAAGGUUUUUGAGACUAACUUACAUCCACGGACACAGAAUAAAAAUAAUUACACGUUCAAUUCAAUUUUAUAAAUACUUAUUACCUUUAAUAUAUUCACUUAUUAUUAAUAUUUAAACAAAAUAAUAAUAAGUAUUAUAUGGUAACUUGAACUAUAAAUUAAUUAUCGAAGUUUGUUUAGGAUUCUUCUUUGAUUGCCAAAAAUAAGAAGAUUUUUUCACCGCUUUCUUGUCCUCAUUAUUCCACCUAAAAAGGGAUAUUUUUUCAAAUUCGCUGAGAAGCAAUUUUGUGUACGUCUUUACUUCUACGAGGACAAUAAAUAAAGUAGGCAUAAGGCCAAACAAUUCCUAACGUUGGAUUUCAUUCAAAAAGAGAUACUAAUUUAUUUAAAAACUGUGUAAAAAUAUUAUAAAUCAUUAUAAUUAACAACUUAACAUAUUUAAAAGACAUAUAAAAAAUUUGAUCGAUUUUUGAAAUUCUAUCGAUUUCAUAUAAGUUGGUACAUAAGAAGUAACAUGCAUUAUUUGAAAACGACGUAAAAAGUAUUAUAAAUCUCAAUAAUUAACAACUUGAAAUAUUUAAAAUAUAUAUAUAUUUAAAAAUUGAUUGACAAACGAAAUCAUAUAUACUUAUUUGAAAUUACAUAAAAAGUACUAUAGUCUAUGAAUUACAACAAUUAGCAACUUAAAUUAUUUUGAAAAAAAUAAAAAGAUCGACUGACUUUCAAAUCUUGUAUAAUUUAUAUGAUUUAUUUUAGAUAGAUUUAUGUCUCAAAUAUAUGACAUUUCCCCACGUGUUUUUUUUUUAUAAAAAAAAGUCUUUUAUCAGGUUGCUGGAAUUAUCGUGAUACAAUAAUAUCAGAGCUAGCUCCACAAGCCUAAAAAAAAGUUGCCUUAAGUUUUUUUCUUUUCGAUAUUAAAUUAUAAGUAUUUUUCUCAAAAAACAUAUUAAGUACUCCAUUAUUUAUAGAAAAUAUAAUUUUUUAUAUAUAAAAAAAGAUUAUUAGAAAUUUAACAAAUUCAAAAUAUUAUGUCUCAAAAAAUCAAAAAUUAACUAUGAUAAAUUUCAUUUAAAAAUAAAAUAAUUUAUGAAUUUUUAAUCAAAUUUAAUUUUAGGUCAUAUUAUGGUGCAUGCCUGGCAGCCAUAUGAGUAAUAAAUGAUUGCUCAUAAAUAUCUUAUUUCAUUGAAAAUGCCACUUAUAGAGUUAAUAUCUCAUACGAUCACUCAACUAAUAUUUCUUUUCAUAGAAAGUCACUUAAUUUUCAUUUAUAAUUUCAAAGUCACUUAACUAUGUAUUUUUUUUAAAAUAAAAAGUCACACAACUUUAUUAUAUAACCUCAAAGUCACUCAACUAUUGAAUAUUUCAUUUAGAAAGUCACCCAUUCAAUUUAAAUAUUUUUUUCAUUAAAUUUUAUUGAAAUGCAAUUUUGUUAACAAAAUAAUAAGAUGCUCAAUUUAAUUAUUUUAUUGAAACAUAAUUUUUUUUAAACUAAUUUCUUAAAAAAUAAUAAGAUUCUCAUUUUCAUUAUUUUAUUAAAUUUAUUGAAACACCAAUUUUGUUUUAAACUAAUUUCUUAACAAAUAGUAAAAUACUCAUUGUAAUAUAUUAUUUAAUUUUGUUGAAAGAUAAAUUUAUUAAAAACGAUUUUCUUUAUUAAAAAAAAAUGGUGUGUUGCGAGGCACCAACACUAGUAACGGUGGAUGCAAUGCAAUGCAUCAUUUUCGAUUUAAAAAUAUCCUACUGCGUAAACCUUAUUAUUUUUGUAUUAAAAUCACAAUAGUUAUUGUUUCUUAAAAAAAUAGUCUAAAAUAAAAAAAUUUGUUCAACAAAAUUUAAUAAAAUAAUUAAAAUGAAUAUUUAUUAUUUGAAAAAAUAAUUAAAAACAAAAUAGUAUUUCAAAAAAAUAAUUAAAUGGGCAUCUUAUUAUUUUUUUAAAAAAAUUAGUUUAAAACAAAAAUUGUAUUUCAACAAAAUUUAAUUAAAAAAUAUUCAAAUUGCUUGAGUUACUUUCUAAAUGAAAUAUGUAACAUCCCGCAACUAGAAAGAGCUAGAAUUAGAAAGAGUCAUUUUUGGAAAGAAUGAAAAAUCUGGAAAUUUGACAAAAUUAAGUCAAGUAUGAGUUUUGGGUUAACUUCAAACGACCAUAAAUCCUAGCUUAGGAUGAUUUAGGUGUGCUAAAAGAUACCGUAGGAAAGAUCUUUGAAUUAUCUUUCCAACGCCGCCGAGUUUGCGCGCUUUUGAGUUCGUAUGAGGGAGAUAUGCCCAUUUGAAGUUGGGUUGUCUAGAUAAGGAAAGUCAAAAUCGGAUUUUAGAAGGGCAUUAUGGUCUUUUCACCACCCAAUUAAUUAAGGAAAAAUUACUUGGAUAGAUACCUUUUAAUAAAUAAUUACUGAUUUUAGCGAUACUUUUUAUUUAUUACCAUUUAUAACAAUACAUAACAAUAUUAUGUUAAAUCUGCAAUAUAUAUUAAAAGUGAAUUAUGUAUGCAAAAUAUAUGUAUUAUAACUGUUUUUUUAAAUGUGUUAUGCUUGCUUGGUAAGAAAUAGACACAUUGUAUUAUAAGUGUAUUAAAAUGUGUGAUAAAUGUAUUAUUCAUCAAUAAAACUUGUAUUAUAUGUGAAUAAUAAAUUGUUCUUUAUAAUAUAUAUUAAAACUGUAUUAUAAAUGUAUUAAAAGUGAUCAAGUGAAAAAAAAUAUUGUUGCUAUAGAUGGUAAAUAUUUUUUUAAUAUAGUAUAUUUAUGUAAGUUUUCCAUUAAUUAAUUUCAUUUUUGGUUAAUUAAGUUGGGGGUCUAAACUGAUUGGAUUCAGUUUACGCUUUUGAAAAAACAAGUUAGGAUUUUGAGAGAAGAGAAAAGAAGAGGAGAAAAGAGGAGAAGAAGCAAGGAAUCACCAAGUUCUUGAAGAAUUUCUUGUGGAUUUCGUCAAGGGGUGAUCCCUACGAGGUAUUUGAGAUCACAUAGCGUUGGGUUAGUUCACCCACACGCCAACCAUGAUUUAUUUUAACGAAUUUAGAUUCUUGAAUGUUUAGAAAUUGAGUUCUUGAUGGAUUUGUUUGAAGUUUCUAUUGGGUUCUUGAUUGUUGGAGUUGUUGAAGAGUUCUUGAUUUUGAUUCAUGAAUUUAGGUGUCGUUUUGAGUAGAUUCUUGCAUAUUUUGAUUAUGUAGUCGAAUCUAAGUGUUUGGGGAAGGACCCAAUUGAGUUUAGAGGAUUUAGAGUUGAAAAACGAGCAAGAAAAGUCGUCAAACACCUGGGCAGAGGGUGGGGCGCCGCGCCACUCAGAGCACCCCACAAAGUUCUCUGAAGUUAGGCCUCUGGCACGCCACUCAGAGCGCCAGGGACGCCAUGUUUUCUACUUCUCCCCCCUUCUUUCCGUACUAGUUCCCUUGAAGCGUACCUAUGUUUCCUAGUUGAUUCCUACACUCUAAGGUACGUCUAAACAACAUGAAAUCAUUCAUAACAUGAGAUCAUGAGCCUUGAAUCCAUAAUUCAAUUCAAGGAAAGUUAGGAGUCAAGUUAAGAGAAGUUCAUAGAUUUUUCAAAAGUCUUUUACAAACGUCUUUACUUUGUUUUAAGGCUUGAGAUUUGAGUUGAGUAAAGAGUAAAGAUUGAAGUUCAUUUCUUCAAAAGAGUAUAUCGGGACUAUGUAUAUUUACAAAGAGUAAAAUGUUUCACAUUUAAACAAGAAAGGAAACUUUGAUUUCCAAAAGAGCCUUUGAGCUAGUUUUUAGUAAAGAGUAAAUGCUUUCACAAUUAAGCAAGAGAAGAAACUUUGAUUUCCAAGAGGAGCCUUUGAGCUAAGCUUUGAGCAAUUAUCUCAAACCACAAAAAGAAGUAUGUUUUUAAACAUAAGAGUUAAUAUUAUAUUUUGAGAGUAGUAUUGAGCACUGAUAUUGUAACGACCGGGUUUCGUCGAUAUAGAAAUGCCAACGGGGGAAAAAUUGGGGUCGGAAAAACUUUUUUGUAGUACUUGAAUUUUCCCAACCUUGUCCAGAUUUGGACGAAAUCGGAGUCCUUGAGUUGUGGGGAAAUCUGGUAACAAUCGGGUGGAGUAGUUAUAGUUUUGGUUGCAUGGGUGAUUAGAUAACUUGUUAAUGAAGCAGUACAACUUUACAGAAUUGAAUUCAGGCGAGUAGAGCUCCCGAAAUCGAUCUUAGAGUGAGGGGUAUUUUCUAAUUGUCGUGGGUUAGAGAUGUGUAGUGAAAUGGGAUUUUGGAAUUUCUUCAGUUGACUCUCUGGUUCCAUUUGUGCAGCUUUGGCGGGAGUCUAGCCGCUCUGGUGGCGCCGCUACAGCAGGAUCAAGGCCACUCUGGCGGGCCAGACGCAACUUAAUGUCGUUAAUAAACCCCUAAACGACCUUAUUUGGAUCUUUUCGACUUUUAGAGCUAAGGAACGACCCCCAGGCGAUUUCUACUUGUUUUUCACCGUUCUUGAGGCUAAAGGUAAGCUUUUCACUCCCCGAAUCCAUUUCUCGAUCCGUAGAACGUAAUAGAAUGGGUGAAUAUUGAUGGUAGAAGGUUUUGUUAUAGAUUCUACGGUGGAAACAACCCUAGUUUGGAUGUUUGGGAUCAUGGAUUUGAUUUAGGGUUCAUAGAAUUGUUAUAGUUUCGGGUAAUUAGCGAUUGUUUGUUGAUUCCCGUGUUAUUAUGAUUGUUUGUAGACCAAGAACAAGCGGAAUGAAUCCGGAAAGGGAAGGAUCAAGUUUCUUAGGGUUUCAAGCUUGUUUCGAGGUAGGUGAUGGUUGUGAUUUUAUAUUUUUGUGAUGUAUUCUUGUUUUUGCUUUAUUAUGAUACUUGUGUAUGUAUGAAUGUUGCAAUGUUGAUCACACUUGUUGUAAAUGAGAUAGAUGAAUAUUCUUGCCAUGAAAUCAUGAUGUAAAUGUAUGAUCUUGAUGAUGUACUUUUGAUUAUGAUUAUGGUGUGUGAAUGGGAUCGGUUGCCACUGUAACAACCCGUAUUACGCAUAUGCUUGUUCUAUUCUUGUGAUACUUGCCAUAGCCUUAUAGUAUAGGUGAGGGACCAUGUUUCUUAUAGGAUUAGUGUUGGUUUAAACUAUCUCGGGAGGUGAUGUGAUGCCUUGCACGUUUCAGCAUGUGUACUGCAAGUUAUAACUCCAACGGAAGUAUUUAAACUCGAGACAGUAAGGUGGUAAUUGAGCUUAAAAGUUGAAAGUUAAGUGCUAAGUUAAGUAAAAGGGGAUUAAUAUUUUAGAAAAUGGAAUAAAAUAAGUGAGUUGCUUGCCUGACUUGACUAAGCUAGUAGGUGACAAGUAGGUGGAUCACCUACUUUGACUAAUUGACCAGUCCAAAGGACCAAGUAGGUGCAUCACAUACUUGAGAUAAAUGGAUNNNNNNNNNNNNNNNNNNNNNNNNNNNNNNNNNNNNNNNNNNNNNNNNNNNNNNNNNNNNNNNNNNNNNNNNNNNNNNNNNNNNNNNNNNNNNNNNNNNNNNNNNNNNNNNNNNNNNNNNNNNNNNNNNNNNNNNNNNNNNNNNNNNNNNNNNNNNNNNNNNNNNNNNNNNNNNNNNNNNNNNNNNNNNNNNNNNNNNNNNNNNNNNNNNNNNNNNNNNNNNNNNNNNNNNNNNNNNNNNNNNNNNNNNNNNNNNNNNNNNNNNNNNNNNNNNNNNNNNNNNNNNNNNNNNNNNNNNNNNNNNNNNNNNNNNNNNNNNNNNNNNNNNNNNNNNNNNNNNNNNNNNNNNNNNNNNNNNNNNNNNNNNNNNNNNNNNNNNNNNNNNNNNNNNNNNNNNNNNNNNNNNNNNNNNNNNNNNNNNNNNNNNNNNNNNNNNNNNNNNNNNNNNNNNNNNNNNNNNNNNNNNNNNNNNNNNNNNNNNNNNNNNNNUUAUAAGUACAAGGCAGAAGUUCCCACAAGCUACUGCUCACUUUCCUUAAUUAUUAAGAAACUUUUCUCUUCUUUUUUGGUUUAAGUGUGAAGAGAAUUUGAAGUUCUAGAGGAAUUCAAGUUAUUAGGAGAAGUUGCAGAAAUUGAGGUAAGGUGACUGCUCAAUUUUCUUCCUCCUUAUGUAUGAGUUUGAGUGAGAAAUUAUGGGUGUGCUGUCAUAAANNNNNNNNNNNNNNNNNNNNNNNNNNNNNNNNNNNNNNNNNNNNNNNNNNNNNNNNNNNNNNNNNNNNNNNNNNNNNNNNNNNNNNNNNNNNNNNNNNNNNNNNNNNNNNNNNNNNNNNNNNNNNNNNNNNNNNNNNNNNNNNNNNNNNNNNNNNNNNNNNNNNNNNNNNNNNNNNNNNNNNNNNNNNNNNNNNNNNNNNNNNNNNNNNNNNNNNNNNNNNNNNNNNNNNNNNNNNNNNNNNNNNNNNNNNNNNNNNNNUAUUGGUCAGAGGAUAAGGUAUGUAAGGCUAUUCGAUUCAAUAUUCUUUGGCAUGAAAUCUGAUACUUACGAUUAAUAUCAAUAAGUGAAUUUCCUAAGUUCUAUUCCUAGGAAAGGAAACAUACUGGCAGCGUACGAUACCCAAAUAGCUAACAAUAUUUCCCCCCUCUCCUUAGUGUAUAGAAUUACUUUAUUAUAUGUUCAGUACUCUAUAGUCAAUUGAAGUCAAUUGUGUCAGUUAAGCUCACAAGUAAUGCAUUGAUGUUACAAAACUUCUUAUGUCAUUGUUACUGCCUUGAAGUAUUAUUUUCAUGUCUUCUACUACUGGUCUGUAGUUCCAAAUAUCAAAAAUGAUUAUGACCACCAAAACAACAAUCUCAUAGAUUAAAGAAUCUAAAUGAAGCAAUUUGUAUAAUUAUGGGUGGCAGCCCAGGGGCAAAUGCCUAGCAUGGGUCAAUCCCAAUUGGUAUAUAAGGGUGGAAGCUCAGGGGCGAAAGCCUAGCAUGGAACGAUCCCAAUUGGUAUAGAAGGGUGGCAGCUCAGGGGGGAAAGCAUAGCAUGGGCCGAUCCCAAUUUGUGGAAUUAUGAGAACCACUUCCCAGGGGUUAAAAUGCCUAGCAUGGGUCAUCCUCUUCUACCACUGAUCAGCUGAUCAUUCAUAUCACAUGCCUUAUAAAGAUCAUAACACACAGAAAGGUAAAGACAAGAAUGUGACAUACAUGAUCCCACAAGACUUAACAAAUGUGGUUUUCUAUUCUGAUUUAUGCACACAUAUAUUGAUAAUUGGUUUCAUUCGAACUCUUAUUUUAUAUAUGUUAUUGCCUUACAUAUUCAGUAUAUUUUUUCGUACUAACGUCUCUCGCGGGAGACGCUCCAUUUCUUGCCACAGGCACAUGUACUUCAGCUAGUAGACCUUCUCAAUAGGAGCACACGACACUCAGUUACUUUUUGUGAGCUCCAAGUUGAUUCGGAGCUUUACUAAGUCCUUGGUACAUUUUGGUAUUGUAUCGUAGUUAAGGGUAAGACGGGGUCUGUCCCGACCUACUCUAAGGUUUUCUAUCUUUUAGAGGCUUUGUAGACUAAUGUAUAUGGUUCAAGUGUGUCUUAACAAGUUGUGGCCUCAACGACCAAGUAUUUUAUAUAAGUUUUGGGUCCACUUAUGUUGGUUAUCUCGGGCCUUUAGGGCAUCGGGUGCCUGUCCGUCUUAAUGGGAUUUGAGGCGUGACAAAAGUGGUAUCAGAGCAGGUCAUCCUAGGAUGUCUACAAAGCCGUGUUUGGGUAGAGUCUUGCUUAUGGAUGUGUUGUGCACUACAUUUAUAGACAAGAGGCUACGGGACAUGUAGGAGUUGUCUCUUUUCUUUCAUUUCUUAGAUCGUGCGAUAGAACCAAUGUUGUAGGUGAAUCAUAUCUAAUUUCUAAAUUGUUUUAUUAUAGCAAAGAUGUCGGGUACGAGAAGGAGCAAAAGUACAGGUAAACAAGUAGAUGUGGUUGCCCAAGAAGGGACCAGCCAAGCACCACCUAGGCAUGCUGAACAUAGCGGGGCUCACAAUGAGUCUCUAUCACAGACUUCCCCGACCCCUCUAUCUCCAUAAGAUCUAAGGAGGGAAGCUGCACCUCAAGAACCCCCUAUUAAUGCUACCGAGCAAGAUUUGAAGAAUGCAAUCCAAUUGUUGACUCGUAUAGUUGCUGGUCAUGGCCAACGACAAGAAGGUCCAGUUGCAGGUACUAGUGGUGUAGAUAGAGCAGCUGGCAUGCAGAUACAUGUUUUCCUUAAUUUGGACCCUCCAUCAUUCACCGGGUCAGAUCCUAAUGAAGAUCCACAAGACUUUAUAGAUCAAAUCCAACGCACUUUUGAUAUUAUGCAUGUAAGUGGUAAAGAAGCGCUCGAGCUAGCAGCAUAUAGAUUAAAGGGUGUGGCUAUAUUGUGAUAUGAAACUUGAAAGCAAUCUAGGGGAACAUAUGCAUCUUCAGCUACAUGGAAAGAGUUCAAAAAGGUAUUCCUUGACCAUUACUUGCCAUUGGAGAUUCGAGAGGCCCAUACAGAUCGGUUCUUAAAUCUCCACCAAGGAAGUAUGAGCGUGAGAGAGUACAAUCUAAAAUUUAAUUCCUUGUCCAGGUAUGCUCCUAGUGUAGUAGCUACUAUGGAGGAUAGAGUUCAUUGAUAUGUGGAUAGAUUAGAUUCAUAUCUGGUUAGAGAUUGUACCAUUGCUUCAUUGAAUAAAGAUAUGGAUAUAGCAAGGAUGCAAGCUUUUGCGCAAAAGUUGAAGGAUCAAAGGCAAAGAAGAAGGACGCAAGAGUCAGAAACAGUGCAUUCUAAGAGGGCCAGAUCCAUGGGGCAGUUUACACCAUCCCAAGGUGAGUUUAGGCCUCGGUUCUUUAACAGACCACCUAGGCCAUCAUUUUUCUACUCUACAGCUAGUGCUCUACCACAGUUUCAAGGGUUUAGGGGCAAUUAGUUUGGGCAAAGAAGUGAAAGCCAAGGUUCACAAAUAGCGGGUCAUCCAGAGCAGGGAAGUACGAGCCAAUCAAGGCCUCCUUGACAACCUUGUAAGCAAUGUGGAAGAAAUCAUCUAGGUGUGUGUAGGUUUGGGACAGAUGUUUGUUUUGGGUGUGAUAUAUCGGGGAAUAUGAUGAGAAACUGCUCUCAUAGGGGCAUGGGUGGUGUUGCACAACCUAUUAGAUCAGUUGAUGCAUCUUUCUCAUCAACACCUUCUUUAGGCAGGGGACUACAAAUGCCUACUGGUCAUGGUAGAGAAGCUAGGGGAGCAGCUAGUUCUAGUGGAGUUUAGAAUCGCACAUAUGCUCUUGGGGGUCGACAAAAUUUAGAAGCCUCGCCGGAUGUGGUUACAUGUACAUUGUCCAUCUUUUCACAUAUUGUAUAUGUAUUAAUUGAUCCGGGGUCUACACUAUCAUAUGUUACUCCAUUGAUUGCUGAAAAGUUCAAAAGAACAAAAUUAUUAGUGAAGCCAUUUGAAGUGUCUACACCGAUUGGUGAGUCUAUUAUAGCUAGAAGGGUUUAUCGUAAUUGCAUUGUAACUAUUUGUGAUCGUGAUACAUUGGCUGACCUUGUUGAUCUAGAAAUGGUGGAUUUUGAUGUUAUAAUGGGUAUGGAUUGGUUAGCUUCUUGUUAUGCCACGGUAGAUUGCCGAACGAAGACGGUGCAUUUCCAUUUUCCAAAAGAGGUCGUCCUUGAAUAGAAAGGGAAUAUUGGGACACCAAGAGGUAAAUUUAUUUCUUGUCUUAAAGUAAAGAAGAUGAUGUCCAAAGGAUACAUAUGCCAUCUAGUGAGAGUGAAAAAUAUAAAUACGGAGCCACCAACUCUUCAAUCCAUUCCAGUGGUAAAUGAAUUUCCCGAUGUAUUUUCUGAAGAUCUUUCGGGUUUUCCCCCAGAAUGAGAAGUAAAGUUUGGUAUUGAUGUGAUUCCAAAUACUUAACCUAUCUCCAUCCCUGCAUAUAGAAUGGCUCCGACAGAAUUACGGGAGUUGAAAGAGCAAUUAAAAGACUUAUUAGAAAAAGGAUUCAUAAGGCCUAGUAUGUCCCAUGGGGGGCACCAGUUUUAUUUGUACGCAAGAAAGAUGGCUCGUUAAGAAUGUGUAUCGACUACCGGCAGUUGAAUAAGGUAACGAUUAAGAACAAAUAUUCCCUUCCUAGAAUUGAUGAUUUGUUUGAUCAGUUACAAGGUGCUAAGUGUUUUUCAAAGAUCGACUUGAGGUCGGAGUAUCACCAAGUAAGGGUCACAGACAAAGAUAUACCCAAGACAGCUUUCCGAACACGGUAUGGUCAUUUUGAGUUUUUAGUCAUGUUAUUCGGGCUAACAAAUGCACCAGCAGCUUUUAUGGAUAUGAUGAAUAGGGUGUUCAAGCCAUUUUUAGAUGUGUUCAUGAUAGUAUUCAUAGAUGACAUUUUGGUGUAUUCAAGAUCUGAAGAGAACCAUAGUAAUCACCUGCGACAGGUUUUACAAAUUCUUCGUGAUCGUAAGUUGUAUGCAAAGUUCUCUAAAUGUGAGUUCUAGUUGAAAUCUGUGGCAUUCUUACGUCAUAUUGUAUCCAAUGAAGGAAUAAGGGUUGAUAACCAGAAGAUAGAAGCCGUAGAAAAACUGGCCAAGACCUACAACGCCUACGGAGAUCCGUAGUUUUCUUGGUAUUGGCAGGUUAUUACAGAAGGUGCGUUGAAGGAUUCUCUUCCAUUGUUGCACCCUUAACAAAGCUAACACACAAAGAAACCAAGUUUCAGUGGAGUGAUGAAUGUGAAAGAAGCUUCCAAUAGCUGAAGAAUAAAUUAACUUCUACACAUAUAUUGGUACUUCCAGAAGGCAUGGAAGGUUAUGCAGUGUAUUGUGAUGCUUCGGGAGUGGGCUUAGGUUGUGUAUUGAUGUAGCAUUGUAAAAUAAUAGCUUAUGGCUCAAGGCAGCUGCGGCCACAUGAGAAGAAUUAUGCAACCCAUGAUCUAGAGUUAGCAGCAGUUGUGUUUGCUUUGAAGAUAUGACGCCACUACUUGUAUGGAGUUCAUGUUGACAUAUACACUGAUCACAAGAGUUUGCAAUAUAUAUUUAAGCAAAAGGACCUAAAUCUGAGGCAGCGAAGAUGGCUGGAGCUAUUAAAAGAUUAUGACAUUGAUAUUUUGUAUCAUCUUGAUAAAGCCAAUAUAGUAGCUGAUGCUUUAAGAUGUAAGAUAAUGGCAAGCACUUAUGGGCAGUCUAUGGAAAGACAAUGAAUAACUAAGGAUCUAUGCCAACUAGCUAGCUUGGGGGUUCACCUUCUUGAAUCUCCAGACGAAGGGGUUGUUGUGCAAAAUGUGGCAGAAUCCUCAUUAGUAGCGGAAGUGAAAGAGAAGCAGUACACUGAUCCUAUUCUAAUACAGCUUAAGGAGAAUGUACAACAGGGUAUGAUAAAGAAAUUUGAGCUUACGCAAGAGGGAGUACUUCGGUGUCAAAACAGAUUGUGUGUAUCUAACGUAGAUGAAUUGAGAAAGAGGAUUAUGAUGGAAUCACAUCAUUCGAGAUAUUCUGUCCAUCUGGGGUCAACAAAAAUGUAUCAUGACUUGAAAGAAAUGUAUUGGUUGGGGGGACAUGAAGAAGAAUAUUUAGAAAUUCAUGGCUCAAUGUUCAAAUUGUCAACAAGUAAAAGUAGAGCACCAAAAGCCCGAAGGUUAUAUGCAGUGUAUAGAACUUCCAAUUUGGAAGUGGGACAUGAUCAACAUGGAUUUUGUCAUUGGUUUGCCUCGCUUAUUUCAAAAGUUUUACUCCAUAUGGGUAAUAGUUGAUAGACUCACCAAAGCAACGCACUUCUUGUUGGUGAAAACUACUUAUACAGUUGAAGAGUAUGCAAGGUUGUAUAUUAAAGAGAUAGUUCGACUACAUGGAGUGCCAAUCUCUAUAAUAUCUGAUAGAGGAGUUUAAUUCACUAUAAAUUUUUGGAAGUCAUUUUAGAAGAGUUUUGGGAACACAAGUGAAUUUAAGUACAACCUUUCACCCCCAAAUAGAUGGUCAGGCAGAGCGUACCAAACACUUGAGGAUAUGCUGUGAGCUUGUGUAUUAGAUUUAAAGGGUAGCUGGGAUGAUCAUCUACCGCUUAUUGACUUCGCUUAUAACAAUAGCUACCAUUCAAGUAUUAAAAUGGCACCUUAUGAAGCUUUAUCUGGUAGAAAAUGUAGAUCCCCAGUUGGCUGGUUCGAAACAGGUGAAACUGCCUUAUUUGGGACAGACCUUGUUCAUCAAGCUAUGGAAAAAUUCAAAGUGAUACAGCAGUGGCUAGAAACAGCUCAAAGUCGACAUAAAUCAUAUGCGGAUGCUAGAAAGAGGGGACUAGAAUUUUCUAUAGGGGAUUGGGUGUUCUUGAAGGUGUCACCAAUGAAAGGGGUAAUGAGGUUUGGUAAAAGAGGAAAGUUGAGUCCACGUUAUAUAAGGCCAUAUAAGAUUAUCUGAAGAAUUGGCCAACUGGCGUAUGAGUUAGAGCUACCUCAAAAGCUUUCAACCGUUCAUCCGAUGUUUCACGUCUCAAUGCUACGAAAGUGUAUAGGUGACCCAUCUCGUAUUAAUCCUACUGAAGAUGUACAGGUUACGAAAGAUCUCACUUAUGAAGAAGUACCCAUUGUUGUUCUGGAUUGACAAGUAAAGAAGUUAAUAAAUAAAGAAGUAACUUCUGUAAAAGUCUUAUGGAGGAACCAACAAAUAGAAGAAGUUACAUGGGAAGCGGAAGAAGAAAUGAAAUUAAAGUAUCCUCAUCUCUUCUAGACCGAUGAGAAAGAUGAAAAUGUUGAGUUGAGGCGUUAACAAGUAAGUAUACGUCUAUAAGUUCAAUGUGAUUAAUAGUAGUACUAACUUAGGCUUAAACUUGUUUGGGCUGGAUAACCAUGCUAACAUUCGAGGACGAAUAUUUUAAGGGNNNNNNNNNNNNNNNNNNNNNNNNNNNNNNNNNNNNNNNNNNNNNNNNNNNNNNNNNNNNNNNNNNNNNNNNNNNNNNNNNNNNNNNNNNNNNNNNGACAUAGCCUUAUAGUAUAGGUGAGGGACCAUGUUUCUUAUAUGAUUAGUGUUGGUUUAAACUAUCUCGGAAGGUGAUGUGAUGCCUUGCAUGUUUCAGCAUGUGUACUAUAGGUUAUAACUCCAACGGAAGUAUUUAAACUCAAGACGGUAAGGUGGUAAUUGAGCUUAAAGUUGNNNNNNNNNNNNNNNNNNNNNNNNNNNNNGAUUAAUAUUUAGAAAAUGGAAUAAAAUAAGUGAGUUGCUUGCUUGACUUGACUAAGCUAGUAGGUGACAAGUAGGUGCAUCGUCUACUUUGACUAAUUAACCAGUCCAAAGUACCAAGUAGGUGCAUCACCUACUUGAGAUAUAUGAAUCUAGUUAAAAAGGCCAAGGUUUAUGGAUUAGAUUUGGGCCUAUGCCAGUGGACUCACUUGAGGCCCAAACUAAGUUAAUAAAUGAAAUGAAAUUAAAGCCCAGCAGCCAAAUUUGCCAAGGCCCAAUUUAUUUAAGCCCAAGUGAAAGCAAGUAGGUCCAUCACCUAGUUUGACCUUUUGACCUACUUGACCAAUUAGUGGCUGAAAAUAGACUAAAAAGGGAGGUUCUAAAUGAUAUUCUUAAAGGUGAAUAAAGCUCAAUAUAAGAUAUAUUGGCUGCUAUUUUUACUCAUUUUAACACACAAUAUUGACAAUUAACUCCAUCUCUCUCUCUCUCUCUCUCUCUCUCUCUCUUUUCUCUUAAGGAUUAAAACAACAUCCUUAAAGUUCCUUCUAGGGUUCUUAAAGAAACCCUAAUAUCUGCAAACCAAGGUAAGAGAAACACUUAUGGAUUUAGCUUAAUUCUCCCAUGGAAGACUAGAAAACAUGNNNNNNNNNNNNGUAGAAGGCAGAAGUUCCCACAAGCUACUGCUCACUUUCCUUAAUUAUUAAGAAACUUUUCUCUUCCUUUUUGGUUUAAGUGUGAAGAGAAUUUGAAGUUCUAGAGGAAUUCAAAGGUUAUAAGGAGAAAGUUGCAAAAAUUGAGGUAAGGUGACUGCUCUAUUUUCUUCCUCUUUAUGUAUGAGUUUGAGUGAGGAAUUAUGGGUGUGCUAUUAUAAAGAACUCAAGGGGGUGGUGAGUUCAAUAAUUGGUUGUAUGAUAAAGAAUAUUUGAGGUUGUUUUAUGUGUAUUGUUGUUGGUGCAACUUGGGUAAUCUUGGAAAAGGAUAUAUAAUGUAUGUAUUGGGCAAAUAAGGACGGUGUGGUAAUACACAUUAUUUUAAGGGUUGUAUGGGCUCAUUAUCCGUCAAAGUUAGCUACUGUUUUACGAGGCUCACGGUGUGAUAGCUGCUAAUUUUAGUUUAUCAUGACUUAUAUUGUAGAUUAAAACCUCAAAGGGGAGGCUGAAUUUUGAUAUUUAUAUUGGUCAGAGGAUAAGGUAUGUAAGGCUAUUCGAUUCAAUAUUCUUUCCCAUGAAAUAUGAUAAGUACCAUUAAUAUCAAUAAGUGAAUUUCCUAAGUUUUAUUCCUAGUAAAGGAAACAUAGUGGCAGCGUACGAUCUCCAAAUAGCUAACAAUAUUUCCCCUCUCUCCUUAGUGUAUAGAAUUACUUCAUUAUAUGUUCACUACUCUAUACUUGUGUAAUUAUCCAGCUCUGUGCUGGUAUAGAAAUGGUAUUUGCAAAAGCAAGUUUGGUGAAUCUUCCUCUUAGUCAGUUGAAGUCAAUUGUGUCAGUUAAGCUCACAAGUAAUGCAUUGAUGUUACAUAGCUCCUUAUGUCAUUGUUACUGCCUUGAAGUAUUAUUUUCAUGUCUUCUACUACUGGUCCGUAGUUCCAAAUAUAAAAAAUGAUUAUGAUUACCAAAACAGCAAUCUCAAAUAUUAAAUAAUCUAAAUGAAGCAAUCUGUAUAAUUAUGGGUGGCAGCCCAAGGGAAAAUGCCUAGCAUGGGUCGAUCCUAAUUGGUAUAUAAGGGUGGCAGCUCAUGGGUGAAACCGUAGCAUGGGCCGAUCCCAAUUUGUGGAAUUAUGACGACCACAUCCCAGGGGUUAAAAUGCCUAGCAUGGGUCAUCCUCUUCUACCACUGAUCAGCUGGUAUUUCGUAUCACAUGCCUUAUAAAGAUCAUAACACAUAGAAAGGUAAAGACAAGAAUGUGACAUCUAUGAUCCCACAAGACUUAACAAAGGUAGUCUUCUGUUUUGAUUUAUGCACACAUAUAUUGAUACUUGGUUUCAUUCGAACUCUUAUUUUAUAUAUGUUAUUGCUUACAUACUUAGUACAUUUUUUCGUAUUGACGUCCCUCGCGGGGGACGCUGCAUUUCAUGUUGUAGGCAUAUGUACUCCAGCUAGUAGACCUCCUCAAUAAGAGCACACGACACUCAGUUACUUUUGGUGAGCUCCAGGUUGAUUCCGAGCUUUACUGAGUCCUUGGUACAUUUUGGUAUUGUAUCGUAGUUAAGGGUAAGGCGGGGUCUGUCCCGACCUACUCUAAGGUUUUCUAGCUUUUAAAAGCUUUGUAGACUAAUGUAUAUGGUUCAAGUGUGUCUUAAUAAGUUGUGGCGUUAACGACCAAGUCUUGUAUAUAAGUUUUGGGUCUACUUAUGUGGGUUCUCUCAGGCCUUUAGGGUAUCGGGUGCCUGUCCGUGUUAAUGGGAUUUGAGGCAUGACAACCACAUUCCGACAUAACUAACUUGGAUCAAUUUUCACGUUCUGGCAUAAAAAUGGGAUCAGUUACCACGUUUCGGUAUACAUAUGGGAUCGAUUGCCACGUUCCGGCAUCCUAACUGUUUAGGUUUGGGUUCCGUGAGUAGACCAAUGAUUUGUGAUAAAUGUAUAUUGAUGAGAAUGUUGAUAUAUGUGCAUGUGAUUGUAAUGUUGUUUGACUUGUUUAUGUUGCACUAGUAAGAUAGUCGCGUGAUCCUACUAGUACAUUGUGGUUGGGUGCUGAUUCUGCACUUGCUCUAAUUUUUAUUGAGUACAGGGCAUCUUCACGUGACUACUGACAGACCUCGCUUAGAAGAUCAGUGAUUGUCGCUUCGAAUUCAAGGGUGAGCCAAUUCUUCCAGGCUGCCAUGGGAUUCUCUUUCGUCUAUGUCUAUCAUUUCCGAACUUAGAUAUUUGUUCUAAUUAGUUGAUUAGUUCAUCAGUUGGGGAUUUAUCGCUUCUUGUUUAGACUUGGAUCAUUUGUUUAGAUGUUUUGGUACAUUGACUUUCAGGUUCUAGGUAUUUAAUUUCCGCAUUUGUUAGUUAAUUAACUUGCUUCCAUAACUUAAUUGUCUUAGUAUUGUUUAAGUUGCUUAGUUUGGUUGUAGUAGUGGUUCUCCUACCGGAUGGUUAGUGUGGGUGCCAAUCACGACUGUCUGGGUCGUGACAAAGUUGGUAUCAGAGCCUAGGUUCAUUGAUCUCAAUGUACCGAAACGAGUCUAAUAGAGUCUUGCGGAACGAUACAUGGAUGCCUUUACUUUUAUUCUAGUGGCUACAGGACUUUAGGAAAUCUUUUUUUUUCCUCUUGUCUCCUUUCAUGUUAUGACUUGAUUCAAAUUGGUAUCUAACCUCCUUCACUCUUCUGCUCGCAGAUGGUUAAUACUAGGUAUAACAGUGUUAGGCUCGUAGCUCCUGCCAAUGCUUCAGCUGAUGAAUCUGUAGCAAAAGGUCGCGGUUGAGGUAGAGGAAGAGCUAGGGGCAAAGGCCGUGAAAGGGUAGCGCAUGCUAAAAAUGAGGUACAUGUUAAGAAUGUGCAUGUGAAUAAGGACCCUCAUACGCAUAAUGAGAAGAUAGAGGAGAAUGUGGAUGUCGAGGAUGUUCAAUAGAUUGGACAAGAGGAAGCGGUGCAGGAUGAAAAUGCAGGCGUUCCUCCUUUGGAUCCGGUGUUAGCUCAACAGAUCAUGUCCUUUUUGAAGGUGUUCGCUGGUCCUGGAGUGCUUCCAUCUGCCCAACCAACUCAAGCUCUCGCUAAUCCCCCUAUUGAUAGCACUGCCCCCAAGACAGGUGGAAUGGAAGGUAAUGAUGCUUUCUUCCGUCCUCUGUUGGGUUCUGUUAUGACUAGGAACGAGCAUGAUAUGUUGACUAAGUUUCUGAAGCUUAAGCCUCCGGUAUUUCUUGGUUUUGAGACUGAAGAUGCUUAUGAGUUUAUCUUAGACUGUUAUGAGAGGCCGCAUAAAUUGGGCAUUGUUCACCAACAUGGGGUUGAGUUCGUAUAUUUCCAACUUCAAGGUGAGGCCAAGCAGUGGUGGAGAGCUUAUAUGGAGUGCAGAUCCUCUACUUUACCUCCACUUACUUGGACCCAAUUUCAUAUUCUAUUUCUAGAAAAGUAUGUGCCCAGAACUUUGAGGGAUCGCAAGAAGGAUGAAUUUAUGGCUUUAGAGCAAUGUGGUAUGUCUGUGGCUGCUUAUGAGGCCAAGUUCCAUGUUUUAUCCAGUUAUGCUACGCAAUUGGUUACUACUGAAGAGGAGAGGAUCCAGUUGUUUAUUAGAGGUUUGAAUUCUGGUUGCAAGUAUUAACUGUUCAUAUGAAUUCUGCAGGAAGGAGUUUUAAUGAGGUGUAGACUAUGUUAAGAAAGUGGAGGGGGUGAGGCGAGACGGUCAAGCUAAGGCUUGGGCAAAAAGAACAAAGAAUUUCGAUAACUUUCAAGGCUCUUACUCUAAGGGGUCUGGAAGGCCAACACUUGCAGCCAAGCCAAUUCAGUCUGCUAUGCCCGCCUCUACAGGUAACUAUUCGGGAACCCCAUCUCAUAAUUUUUAGGAUAGUCAGAGUGUCGUUUCUUCGAUGGGCAGCAGACCAUUUUUUGAUCGUACCCAUCUCAUAAUUUUCAGGAUAGUCAGAGUGUCGUGCCUUCGACGGGCAGCAAACCAUCUUUUGAUCGUACUUGCUACAACUGUGGUGAACCUAGGCAUAUGAGGAGAGAUUGUCCCCAUCCACGUGUGUUAGAUUCCGCGCAACAGCAGUCUAGAGAAGUGGUACCCACGGGGAACGGUAAUAAUGGUAGAGGACGUCCACAAGGUGGGCGAGGAGGUAAUCAGCGAGGCCGUGGAGGUAGAGGAAAUGGUAAUGGUAAUGGAGGUAGGGGUAACGCGCAACCAGGCAGGGAAGUGACUGUUUACAUCCCUACUUUAUUCAAAUAGAGCGAAACGUCUUGUGAUUCAAAAAAUAAUCAAUUAAUUCAAUUUUAAAAGAAUUUUAAGAAUAAACGAAUUUUAAAUGAGUCGCCACCUAAUUUUAGGAAAAACUAGGAAACCAAUUAAAAAUGUCUACGAAACCAUUAGAUUCUAGGUAAGGGGUUCAAGUCAUUCUGAAGGAAAGGUGUUAGGCAGCUUUCAAAAUCCACAAUUGUGGGUCCCGACUAAAUUCAUUUUUUCAAAUUGAAAAGGAGAUAAAAAUAAAUAUACAAGUAUAAUAAACAAGUAAUUUACACAAAUAAUAAAAUAAACAAUAAUAAGAAACGACCUAAGCUUGCCUAGCGUCACUAAUAUACACAAUAAUAAAUAACAAUUAUAAUUCGAACUCCGUUUGAAUAGCUUUAAUGGGAAGCAACUCUGGGUACAUAUAAAGACACUUAGUAAAAGUGUUAGUACUAAAUAAAUAUGAAUAAAAAUAACCAAAUUAAAUAAUAACUAAAAAAUAAAAAUCCUUCUUAUUAACAUGGGAGGCCUUGGAAAGCGACGGUAAUUUCUUCAUCGGCCAAUUUUAACAUAGAAAAUAUAUAAACUUAAACUAAAUUUCCGUCUUUUAAUAUUGGGGAGGCCUCGAAAAUCGACGGAGAAAUUUUUUCAUUGGCUAAUUUAACAUUUACUACUAGAGAUCAAUUUAACAAAGAACCAAAAGAAACAAAAAAUAAUAAUUAAGAUAACAAAUAGUCUAAAUUGAUCCUAAAUGUGGUUCUAACAUUUUUAACAAAAGUUUUGCAAAUAUUUUCUAUUAAAUUAACGACAAAUUACAGUGAGCAAAGAGCAUGGACAUUCAUCAACAAUAAUAUAUUAAAAUAAUGAAGAUUCGAAGCAACAUUGAUAGCCACCAAAUGUAGGCAGCAACAAACAAAACUUAUAUAUCCACCGUAACAAAUAAUAAUAAUAAUAAUAAAAACGAUAAAAAGUAAUAAUAACUAAACAAUAAUAACAAUCAUAAUAAUAGAAUAAUAAUAAAAAGCAACAACAGUAAUAUAUACCAUUUAACAAAUAGUAAACUUUAACAUACGAUACAUUUAUCAAAUAAAACAAAACGAAACACAUAAGUGUACUCAUCCAAACAACAUAACAACAUAACAACAAUAAAAUUAGUCUAAUAAAAAAUAGAAUAUCAAAGGUGGUGAUUCCAUCAAAAAUCCAAAAUUUCUCGAAAUUAUAAAAAAUGAAUAACAUGAACCAUAAGAACCACAGUAUCACAAAACAAACAUAGAAAUAAUAUAAAAAGGAAGCAACACAGUCAUUAAAAAAAAAUAAAAAAAAAUACUAUAGCAUCCUAAAACAAAACCAAACAAAUUUGUAAGAAAUUAGAACUAAAAUAGGAAACAAUAGUGAUAUUAUUGGAGUUCCAAACCUCCGUUGGCAAUCCUAUUUUCGGAUUUCACCGGAACGAAGCUAUUGUUGUCAUUGUUGGUUGGAGUUUAUUGGAACUUGAAGCUCUAGUUCUCCGGAAUGUGCAGAUUUGAACACCUACAAAACAAACAAAAUAUCGCAAAAGGAGAAAGGGGAAGGGACUAGCGAUGUCUUGAGCCUGCUUUGCUCUGGUUCAUUGGAGUUUGAAACUCCUCACCGAAGUUGCUACUGGUGAGUCACGAGUUUAGCUCGCUUGAACUUGGAAAAGAGGAGAAAUGAGGUUUUGUUCGGGUUCUGGGGUUUUAGCCGGAGAUCUGGUUGUGAGCUUCAAGCUCGAUGGCUUGUUGGUUUCAGGCAGGUAUUUGGAUGUUGCCGGAGUGGCGUCUGGCGGUCGUUUUAAUUUCUGGUGGGUUUUUCGCCAAAAAAGAUGAAAAACGAGUGGGGUUUUGGGUGGCGGCUAUGAGAGCAUAUAGGAGGAGAGAAAGUUUAGGUUCUUCCCUUUAGAAAAAGUUCCUCCUAACCUAAAUAUUUUCCACCACCUUUAUUUUUUAACCUAAUCAAACUUAUAUAGGAAAUAAUUUUACAAUGAGCUCAAAGUGUGGGCUUGAGAUUAUGACCCGAAAUUAUUGAUUAAAUAAAAUAUCUUUGUAUAUAAUUAUUAUUCUAAUUUAACAGUAUUUCUAGACUGUGCUAAAAACGUCAAAAUUGAUAUUAAUAAAAGUAAUUAAUAAAAUGAAUAUUAAAAAAUGUAAUGAGCGUAACUCAUGAUGUGUAAAACAAUGCAAUAUAACAGAAAUAAUUAUUUAAUUAAAAUGAACAAAUAUUUGAACGUAUUCAACCGGCUGUGACAAAAAGUAAUGUAAUUAAAAUUAACUGAUAAAAACUCUAAACUUUUGAUAAAUAAGGAUAAAUAUUGAUAAACUUAUUUAAAAUUAUAAAAAGUGUAUUUUGAACUAUUGAAUUAAUAAAAGUUAAAAGUUAAGAAUCUUGAAAAUGUUAGGCCAAAUUUUGGUGUCAACAGUGGCUCGUCAAGAUGAUAGAGCUCAAUGUUAUACUUUCCCUGGCAAAAAUGAGGCGAAGGCGUCCGAUACGGUGAUCACAGGUACUAUUCUUGUCUGUGACUGGAUGGCUAAUGUAUUAUUCAAUCCGGGUUCUACUUAUUCGUAUGUAUCUGUGAGAUUUGCCUCUAAUUUUGAGAUGAUUUGUGAUAUACUUGAUGCCCCAAUUCGUGUUUCUACCCCUGUUGGAGAGUCAAUCAUAGUCACCCAUGUCUAUCGUGCUUGUCCUAUUGUGUUUAUGGGUUUUCAGACUUGGGCUGAUUUGGUGAUUUUGGAUAUGAUUGACUUUGACAUAAUCUUAGGCAGGACUUGGUUGUCCCCCUAUUACGCUGUGCUUAAUUGUAAUACUAAGUCUGUAACUCUAGAAAUUCUGGGAAGGGAAAAAUUAGAGUGGGAAGGGGUGUACAAGCCUAAGCAAGCUAAGAUUAUAUCCUCCAUUCGGGCUAGUAAAUUAGUAGAGCAGGGUUGUUUGGCUUAUUUGGCUCAUGUUAGGGAUGUUGAGAUUGAGGCUCCAUCCAUUGGGUCUAUUCCUAUGGUGUCUAAAUUUAGUGAAGUGUUUCCUAAUGACUUGCCUGGUAUGCCUCCGAAUAGAGAUAUAUUUUUGCAUUGAUUUGGAGCCUGGUACUCGCCCCAUUUCUAUCCCUCCAUAUUGUAUGGCUCUGACAGAAUUAAGAGAGCUUAAGGCUCAAAUCCAAGAGCUCCUUGAUAAGGGAUUUAUUCGCCCUAGUGCUUCCCCAUGGGGUGCUCUAAUUUUGUUUGUUAAGAAGAAGGAUGGUAGUAUGAGAAUGUGUAUAGACUACCGGUAGUUAAAUAGGGUCAUUAUUCGGAAUAGGUACCCCUUGCCGAGAAUAGAUGAUCUUUUUGACCAAUUGCAAGGUGUAAUGGUAGAUCUUUCAAAAGAUUGAAUCGGUUAGGGAUUGGGUUAGGCCUGGCUCUGUGACGGAGGUUAGGAGUUUUGUGGGACUCGCUAGCUAUUAUCGUCAAUUUGUUAAGAAUUUUGCUUCAAUUGCUACUCACUUGACCAAUUUGACCAAAAAGAAGAUAUCAUUUGAAUGGACUGAAAAAUGUGAGGAGAGCUUUCAAAAGCUCAAGACUCUCUUGACCACCGCGCCCAUUCUAGCAUUACCGGUGGAAGGUAAGGACUUUAUAGUUUAUUAUGAUGCUUCUCAUUCUGGAUUGGGCGCUGUGUUAAUGCAGGAUAAGAAUGUUAUAGCCUAUGCGUCGGGUCAAUUGAAAGUGCAUGAGAGAAAUUAUCCAACCCAUGAUUUGGAGUUGGCGGCGAUAGUAUUUGCUCUUAAGAUCUGGCAGCAUUAUCUUUAUGGUGUUAAGUGCGAAGUGUUUACUGAUCAUCGUAGUUUGCAGCAUGUGUUCACUCAAAAGGAUCUGAAUUUGAGACAACGAAGAUGGAUGGAGUUACUCAAGGAUUAUGAUGUGAUCAUUCAAUACCAUCCGGGUAAGGCAAAUGUUGUGGCAGACGCUUUGAGUCGAAAGGCAGUAAGUAUGGGUAGCUUAGCUUACUUGAGUGUAGCCAAGCGACCCUUGGCCGAAGAAAUUCAGACCUUAGAGUCUAAGUUCAUGCAGUUGGGCAUCUCUGAAAGAGGCGGGGUGUUAGCUAGCAUUGAAGUUAAGGCCACAUUCAUUGAGGAGAUCAAGGCCAAACAAUUUGAGAAUUAAAAUUUAAACGUACUCAAAGAGAAAAUGGCGAAUGGUAAGGCACAAGAGACCACUCUUGAUGCGGAUGGUGUACUUAGUGUUAAGGGGAGAAUUUGUGUUCCUUGAGUUGAUGACUUGAUUAAAAAAUUAUUGGCGGAAUCUCAUGGUUUGCGAUAUUCUAUUCAUCCGGAUGUGACCAAGUUGUAUAGAGAUCAGAAAUGAAUUUAUUGGUGGGCGGGCAUGAAGAAAGACAUAGUGGAGUUUGUGGCUAAGUGUCAAAAUUAUCAACAAGUGAAAUAUGAACAUCAAAGGCCUGCAGGUUUACUUCAAAGAAUGUCAAUUCCGGAGUGAAAGUGGGAAAUAAUAGCUAUGGAUUUUGUGGUUGGUCUUCCCAAAACUUUGGGGAAGUUUGAUUCUAUUUAGGUAGUGUUUGAUAGAUUGACCAAGUCAGCCCAUUUUAUUCCGGUAAGAACAGAUUAUAAUGCUGAACAAUUGGUUAAGGUGUAUGUGAAAGAGACAAUGAGGUAGCAUUUUUUGUCCCUUUCUAUCAUCUCAGAUCGUGGUACCCAAUUCACUUCCAAGUUUUAGAGGAAAUUGCAUGAUGAGUUGGGCACACAACUCACUUUUAGUACAACCUUUCAUCCACAGACGGAUGGACAAUCUGAGAGGACUAUUCAAGUAUUGAAAGACAUGUUGAUGGCAUGUGUGAUUGAUUUUGGAGGGCAUUGGGAUAAAUUCAUACCUUUGUGUGAGUUCUCCUAUAAUAAUAGUUAUCACUCCAGCAUUGAUAUGGCACCAUUUGAGGCACUAUAUGAGGAGGAACCGAUUGCUAUUCUUGAUCGUGAUGUGCGUAAGUUGAGAACCAAGGAUAUUAAGUCUGUGAAAGUUCAAUGGAAGCAUCGUCCAGUUGAGGAAGCUACUUGGGAAAUUGAGAGGGACAUGCGAGACAAGUAUCCUCAAUUAUUCGUCGAAUCAAGUACUACUUCAUUCUUUCCUUAGCCUACUUUCCCAAAGUUUAGUCACUCGGGGACGAGUGAUGCGUAAAUUGGUAUCUAUUAUAACGACCGGGUUUCGUCGUUAUAGAAAUGCCAACGAGAGAAAAAUUGGGGCCAGAAAAACUUUUUUGUAGUACUUGAAUUUUCCCAACCUUUUUCAGAUUUGGACGAAAUUGGAUUCCUUGAGGUGUGGGGAAAUCUGGUAACAAUCGGGUGGAGUAGUUAUAGUUUUGGUUGCAUGAGUGGUUAGAUAACUUGUUAAGGAAUUCGUACAACUUUACGGAAUCAAAUUCGAGAGAGUAAAACUCCCGGAAUCGAUCUUAGCGUGAGGGGUAUUUUCUGAUCGUCGUGGGUUAGAGAUGUGUAGUGAAAUGGGAUUUUGGAAUUUCUUCAGUUGACUCUCUGGUUCCGUUUGUGCCGCUUUGGCGGGAGUCUGGCCGCUCUAGCGGGGCCACUACAGCGGGAUAUGGGGCGUUGUGUCAGGUACGACAAGACUUAAAAUCGUAGAAAGGAUGGAUAGUUUACUGGCUCGAAAAUGCCGCUCUGGUAGGACUUGAUGUUGCUCUGGCGCCGCCGCUACAGCGGGAUAAGGGCCGUUGUGGCGGGCCAAACGUGACUUAAUGUCGUUAAUAAACCCCUAAACAACCUUAUUUGGCACUUUUCGACUUUUAGAGCUAAGGAACGACCCCCAGGCGAUUUCUACUCAUUUUUCAUCAUUUUUGAGGCUAAAGGUAAGCUUUUCACUCCCCGAAUCAGUUUCUCGAUACGUAGAACGUAAUAGAAUGGGUGAAUAUUGAUGGGGGAAGGUUUGUUAUAGAUUCUAUGGUGGAAACAACCCUAGUUUGGAUGUUUGGGAUAAUGGGUUUGAUCUAGGGUUCAUAGAAUUGUUAUAAUUUUGGGUAAUUAGCGAUUGCUUGUUGAUUCCCAUGUUAUUGUGAUUGUUUGUAGAUCAAGAACAAGCAANNNNNNNNNNNNNNNNNNNNNNNNNNNGGGAAGGAUCAAGUUUCUUAGGGUUUCAAGCUUGUUUCGAGGUCGGUGAUGGUUGUGAUUCUAUGAUUGUGUGAUGGUUGUUUGUUCUUGCUUCAUUAUGAUACUUGUAUAUGUAUGAAUGUUGCAAUGUUGAUCACACUUGUUGUAAAUGAGAUAGAUGAAUAUUCUUGCCAUGAAAUCAUGAUGUAAAUGUAUGAUCUUGAUGAUGUACUUGUGAUUGUGAUUGUGGUGUGUGAAUGGGAUCGGUUGCCACAUUUCGGCAUAACUAACUUGGAUCGGUUGCCACGUUCCGACUUAAAAAUGGGAUCGGUUGCCACGUUCCGGCAUACAUAUGGGAUCGGUUGCCACGUUCUGACAUGCUAACUGUUUGGGUUUGGGUUCCGUGAGAGGACCAAUGAUUUGUGAUAAAUGUAUAUUGAUGAGCAUGUUGAUAUAUGUGCGUGUGAUUGUAAUGUUGUUUGACUUGUUUAUAGUGCACUAGUUGGAUAGCCGCGUGAUCCUACCAGUACACUGUGGUUGUGUAUUGAUUCUGCACUUGCUCUUAUUUUUGUUGAGUAUAGGGCAUCUUCACGUGACUACUGAUAGACCUCGCUUAGAAGAUUAGUGAUCGUCGCUUCGAAUUCAAGGGUGAGCCAAUUCUUCCAGGCUGCCAUGGGAUUCUCUUUCGUCUAUGUCCAUCAUUUCGGACUUAGAUAUUUGUUCUAGUUAGUUGAUUAGUUCAUCAGUUUGGGGGAUUUAUCCCUUCUUGUUUAGACUUGGAUCAGUUGUUUAGAUGUUUUGGUACAUUGACUUCAGGUCCUAGGUAUUUAAUUUCCGCAUUUGUUAGUUAAUUAACUUGCUUCCAUAGCUUAAUUGUCUUAGUACUGUUUUAGUUGCUUAGUUUGGUUGUAGUAGUGGUUCUCCCACCGGAUGGUUAGUGUGGGUGCCAAUUACAACGGUCUGGGUCGUGACAGAUAUGGGGGAGAGUUCAGACAACUCCCAGCCCCCAUAAACCAUGUAGCCACCAUGGAUAGAAAAGAGUCAUACUUUUUAGAUGAUUCUUUAGUAAUUUGUAGCAUAGACUAGUGGAUCCACUUAGUAGUCAGGUUCUAUACCCCUCGGCAAGGUAUAGGACGGCCCUGGCAGCGUGAGGCAAAAUGAUGUAUCAUCACAAUAACUCUUAAGUGAUGGUUGUCGGUUAGAGAAACUCCCACAACAGUAUUUUGUAUUUUUAUAUACAUUCCAAAGUUUAUAUUGUAUCUUUGCAUACACACAGAGUUGUUAUCCAAGAAUAAUGGUGUAUAACUGUCAAAAUAAAACGAAAACAAUAUUGUGUUAUGUUCAACUUUAAAUAUAUAUCUUUUAAAUGUAGAAUUUAACAUAUAUAUAUACAACCUAAUUUUCCGAUGAAGGGUGUCCAGUUGGACACCUUUGGAUGGUUGUAGCUACACCACUGCCCAUAACAACCAUUUCAGCCACAACUACCAACACCAUCAAUCACAAUCUUCAACCCAACCACAACCAUCACUACCUUUAAUCACAAAAAUCAAUAGUCAUUACCAUUAAUCAUUAUUUGUAAUCAUCAUCACCAAUCAUUAUUACAUCAACUAUGUAACACCUCGGAUUUGACAAAGGCUAGAAAGGGGUCAAGCAGGCAAAAAGUUGACUUCAUUUACUAUUUCUACAGAUAAUAUAUGUCAUAUGUAUAAGAUCAUAGUAUAUCCAUUAUUAAUUUAUAUUUAUAUAACGAUAAAAAAUAAUUAUAAUAAAAUAAGAAAUAUUUUCAUUUUUAUUUUUUUCUGAAUUGAAGUAUUUUUUUUAUUUUUUUUAAAGAUAACAUUCUGAAUUGAUUAUUAAUCACAACAGUAAAGUAAACUCAAGUAAUCAUGCAAUAAAGUAUCACUUAACUGGGAAGAGGAAACAACCUCUUCCAGUCAGGUGGCAAUAGUUCCAAAAAGGAGUUUGCAAAACCAUACUAAAGCUUAAAUUCUAAUCGAAUUCUAGUAAUUGCAUUUCAACAAGUUCUUUCACACAUAUUCAUCGUCAUCAAAGCUAAGUUAUCUGAAAACAUGAUAGAAUUGACAGAGACUUCAGGGUCUCUACACUCAGUUCUUUGAAGCUAGUUUUUCCUUUGCCUUCUGAAUCUUCAACACCUUUUUCACAUUUUUUUGUUCUUCAACCAAGAAAGCUCGGAUGAUUCUCUCCCUUACAGCACUUCCAGAUAGCACACCUCCAUAAGCGCGGUUCACAGUCCUGCAGUUUCUUGGCAAUCUGGAUCUCUUAUAUUCAGCAGGUCUCAAAUGUGGAAUCCCUUGGAUUCUCUUCCCAGUAACUGGACAUUUAGGGCCGCUGGCUCUCUUCU